UGAUAGUGGGUCACACACGGUACACGUUCACCGACAACCGGCUGUUGACCGGCUGCAAGUCGUGAACGACCGUCUAUAGCACGUGAAAGACUAUCAGUGGGUCGGUUCGGUUGUUCCGAACCUGAGGUUCGGUUGUUCCGAACCUGAGGUUCGGCAACAAGCCAGCAGGUGCUGGUCGCCUUCUCUAUAUAAAUGGACUCCCCCGGACAUAUCUCAUACGAGCCUUUCGUUGAUUGGUCUGAAAGAAAGAGCAUAGAGAUCUUUUCCUUGCCAGAAGGUAAAACUCAGUUUCCAAGAUGAAUCACUUUUUUUUUUCUUUUUUUCUUUUUUUUUUUGGUGAAUUUUAUUGAGUGAUGAAUGGUGAUUUUGAAGAGGGGGUUUGGGAGAUCUUGUGGGUCUAUGAGGUUUCUGGCAGUAGAAAUUGAAUCUGCCUCGACUGAUAAGUUUUUACGUUGACUUCUACCUGGGGAUCUGAUUGUUGCUAUUUUUUCGUUUUUCAUGAAAUUUUUAUCAUCUUUGGUUGGUUGUUGUAGGUAGAAAAUUACAUGAUUAAUAUCUUCAAAAACCCAAAGAAAACAUUUCUAGGAAGAACAAAUGGCUACCGGAAAGUGCUUGAAUUUCGUGUUUUCGGUAGGAUUGUUAUUUGGUGGGUGUUUUUGGAGACUCGACUGAAGGAGGGAGGUGGAUUAAGAUCUGUGAUUUCAAUUUGAGUUUUAGCGUAGGGAGAAAGGUUUGAAGAUGGUAUGUUUAUAUUAAUUAGGCGAUGGAAUCGUUUCUUUGUUGAAUCGAGAUUUGUGAUCAGUUUGGGGAAGGUGAUUUAGGGGCUUGUGACCAGUACGCAGUGUUUGGUGGUAAGUGUGUUGACAUCGAAGAAAAAAUUUGGAUUCACCAACAAUUAACCCCAUGUAGAGAAUGAGGAAGCACUGUGAACAAAUUUAUUUUAUAAAAGGUUUAGCGCAAGAAACAUUUGAUCGAUCAGCUGGUUACGGUGAAAAUUUUAUCUGGAUACAGUAUCUGCAUAUGAAGAAAUUUAGAAUAUGCUUUAUUAUCAUUUCAUCUUGAAACCUCAAUCCCAUUCGGUUUCCUCACCGGGAGAUACCCAUAUUAUAAACAAACUAGACAAAUUAUAUUGGGAACUCCAUAUGCUGUGUUACAUAUUACUUGUUUUAUGUUUCUCUUGUAUGUUGGAACUUUGUUGGGCAGUAAGCAAUAUUCAAGAUCUGAACGAUCUGAACCUAGUUCCAAUAUAGGACUGCCUCCAAAUAUUGCUAUCUUAUUGAUCAAUGUUUUUGCUUUUGUUUAGAUAACUUUGGGAUCAAAAUCAAGAACAAGGGUUUAGAGCGCUGCAGAAAUUGGAGAUGGCAUUGGUUACAGGAGGAAGGUCAACAUUGAACCCCAACGCCCCUCUCUUUAUUCCAGCUGCUUUCCGCCAAGUGGAGGAUUUCUCCCCAGAGUGGUGGCAAUUGAUUACCACUUCAACAUGGUUCCGUGAUUACUGGCUCAGCCAGCACCAGGAGGGGGAUAUUUUUAAUUGUAAUAAUGCUGAUGAUGAAUUUGAUGCCAAUGACAUUGCUGACCUGCUGCCAGAUGCAUUUGACUUUGGCACGGAGGAAGACUUCUCACACAUGGAAGCCCAGUUUGAGGAGUUCAUUCAAUCUUCAGAAGCCGAAGAAGCAAAUAAACCAUCUCACCUUGCUUUGAAUGGAACGUCUGGAAAUGGUAUGGAUGAACUCUUAUUGCCACAGCGCCUGAUUUUUAUUUUCCCAUCCGGCAUUUCAAUUAUUAUAUUUUUCUGGAUUGAUUUUCAUAUCAUAUCAAGUAGUCUCUAAAGGUAUUAAGUUGGGGUUUGAGUUGCAGGUUCAGCUGUGAUGGAUGUGAAUGCACUGAUGAAAUUUACAAAUGAAAGGGGUCCCAAGUCUCUGGCAGAACCAGCAAAGUAUCAGGAGAAAGCAGGCAGGUGCAUGAGCCCAAAAUGCAGCCCUCGGCCCAUCCAGCAGCCCCGCUGAAGGGUGUCAGCUUUGCCAGGGUUCCAGUUAGCAGAUCAUCCAAGGGGGUCGGAAAAUAACUUUCUUAAUGUAGCUUCUGUAUAGAGCUAGGUUGCGUCCAACUCGUGUAUCCCUUCCUAUUCAGUCUCAUGUAUUUUUCUUCCACUUAACAAUAGAAACUUCCCAGAAAAUGUAUUAAAAAAAAGUUUCAAAUGAAUGAAAAAGAAAAAACCCAAAAAUUUGUGUUCAUGCUCCCCUCCCAUUUUCUCUGUAAAAUCUGCAAGAGAAUUUCUAAUGGUAUCAUGUUGUCAAGUCCGUUUCAACCUUCACGUAGCGUUGCAAAACGUCAUAUUAAUGUGCAAGUAAUGACAUCCACAUCAUCCGCACUCCCAAGAUAGUGCGGGUGGCGGAGGGGAGAUACUUCAUGCUGAUGAUGAUUGGGGUAUUUUAAGAUUUUAAGAUAGCCAACUUCAGCCUGAACAAGCUUGAAGUGGAGAACAAUCAUAGAACCGCAACACUACUUUAUGGGAGUGGAUUGAUCGAAAAUUUAUUAGGCAUCAUCAAGGGCAAAAACCAAACUAAAUUUUGGCAGCAGGAGAGGAUCCCCCUAUAAAUUACUAUUUCUUGAAAAUGAAACAUUGCCGGGCUGCUCCUUUUUUUUACCUCUUCAGUUUCCCUGGAUAAUUUUUGGUACAACCCAUUUCAACCAUGCAAUGCAGCCGUUCUACUAAUAAAUGGCACUAAGAUUAUGUUAUUUGUUCCUCAGAAGAAAAUGAAAAUGCUUUUGUUGAUAGUACAAGGAUAUACAUCUCAACUAACAUUGUGUCACACUACCUCUCAUUGAUCCCAUCUUCCACCAGAAGGAAGGACACUGCAUCAAAAAUCCUUUUCUAGAUCUGGAAAAUUACACAUGGAUGGUGGUUAGCUCAACCAUGUCAAAAAAAGUGUCAAAUAUACUGUUUUUUCCUUUGGCCAAAAGCCAACAAAAUCUAUUUCCUAUUGAAUCCUCCAGUUUCUCUCAUCUAUAUGUUUAACCAUGUUGCUGACAGGAAGAGUGACAAACUGACAGCCUUCACUUAACUUUCAAGUAGACAUCUCUGAAAGGGAUUUUGUACUCUCCUCUUGAUCCCUUUUCCUUGCUUCAGCUUCAAGUUUAGAUUGAUUGCCAAUGGCAUCAGAUAUAGCCUUUGGUAGCCAAAACCCAGGUCUCUCAAGGAAUGGUGCUCGAUCAAGAACCAAAGGUUCACGUAGAAUUACCUCAAUGCCAUCAUAUGUCCACAAUGCCAAUGUUGCUUCACCUUUGAGACCCAACGAGAACCAACCCAAGCCAGCUACUGCAAUAUCUAUGCUGUUCACAUCCCAGCUUGCUCCAGACACUUUGAUUUCUUGCUCUUCCCAUUUUCCUAUUUCUGAAACUCGAUCCACUCUGACAGGAGGCUGAGAUAAGAAACCAGCAAGAAGAAACAUCUAAAUUAAAAUUUUCUGUAGGAACAUUUAAGAGCAUAACAAAUUCAUGAUAGCCACAUAAGAAACAAUGGAGCAGACACUUAUUCCUGGAUAACAUGCAUUUCUUUAAAAUAUAAUCUAUAGAUCUGUAUAUCACUUUCAUAAGUAGGAUAUUUUAGCAGUGUUACUAUUUAACCACUAUUGGGAAGAAAAAUUCUUAGUUGGCAUACAACUUUAAGUCAUAAUAGUACUUCAGUUGCAGGGUAAAUCUUAACCUCCGUUUCUAAUUUAGAACAUCUCUUGAUUUUCAAAGUUAUUUUACUUUAAGAAUAAAGGUGGCUAUCACAGGGAACUUGAUGCAGUUGGUUAAGCUCCAGCCUCCCCUAAUUAAAUCAAAGAACAAAAUAUUUAUAAAAUAUCAAACUUGGGUUUUAACCAAGCAAAUUACUAUUUGAUGCAUCACUGGACCAAAAGUUCAAAGUGCGGGUCCUGUUGAGAAUCACACGGAACCAUAUGGAAAGUAAUGACCCUACUCGUGCAAACCAAUAGAGAGAUUGCAUCUUUUUUUUAUCAGAGAGAGAGGUUGCAUCUUAUUUGGACAAUAUAUAUCAAUAAAUUAAUAAGUCUUAUUUGAUGGAUGAUAGGACCAAAAUUUCAGGAGAAAGCAAAGACCAAUAAGUGCCACGUGGAAGUCAUAGAACCAUAUCAACAAUGAUAAUACUAUUUCUGCAAACUGAUAGAGAGAUGGUAUCUUAUUUGGGCAAAAACUUACCUGCAACCUAACUCCAACAUGCUUUCUCCAGAUUUCAUCAGCAUUUUCUAUCUUCCCCAUGUGUAGAGAAACAUUUGGUGAUGCCCAAAUUGUGACAUAAAUUGUUUCCACUGAAGCCUGAUUAAGGUCUAAUCUCAUUAAGCCACCAACAUGAACAGCCUGCCCAGCCUGCAAAGUAAACAUGCAAAGCACAUUAGAUCCAUCGGCAGGCUGUAUUCUAAUGGAACUAGUGCCUUCCAAAUCGAAUAAAUACACCAUGGUGUCUACAGAUAGCAGCUUCCUUGCCAAUGAUGUGAUAAAUGAUCGAGAGAAAAAUCACAAAACAUAACACUAAAAAUACUAAAAAGGAGGAAAAAAAAAAACUUUACAUUUUCUACAGAAAUAUCAAGAGAGCUUAGUGUUAUGAUAAAAGAUUCUCCAAUUUGUUGACUCAUGUUUUCUUAAGCAUUCAUCUUAAUCCCAUUUGUAAUAGGACAAAGUUAGUAUGAUUAAGAGAGUGAACAUUGCACCUUAAUGUGCAGUCAAUUUAGAUAACCCUUGGUCUUUUGUUGGAUGCUCAAGCUACUUAAAAUGUGACAAUCUCUGACCUGGCAGACAAGCAUGAUUAUCAAACCCAUUCAUCAUGCCGAGUCUGGAAAAAUUUUGAAAACCAAAGCUCACUUUAUCAAAUAAAAACCAGAACUUCAAGUGGAAGAACCACAAGAAGAACUAAAAGUUAAUAAUAAAGUCAGGUUCACAUGUCCCUCAGAUAUCAUUUAAAGACAAAAAAAAAAAAAAAAGUCCAGGGAUCUGGAUUCAAAUGGCAUUUGUAGUGUUCUCCAUGCCAUUCAAUACAACCGGGCAUUAGAUCUCUAAGUAGUUGUUGACAGCAGUCAAAUUUUAUAUUACUUAUCAUAAGCUUCUGCAAGUUAUUCUCAGUAAGUACUUGAUGAAACAUUUGUGUUUCUAUCUGUAUAGAAAGAUUUGGUCCUAACAAGGAAGCAGUUAUGAUAACACACAACUUACCUUCAUCCUAUAAGUCCGAGGCUGUAGCUCCUUCCGUAUCUCAGCCAUUUUCUGCUCAUCCCUAUUCAAUCUCAUGGACAUUAAAUAUGGAUGGAGAAGCCCUGGGGUGUCAUACAUCUUCGCCUUGGCUGACAAAAUCCCUCCAAUUCUCAAAAUUCCAAGAGUUGUCCCAGGAACAGCAGCUUCUGUAAGCUUUGUGAGUUUCACACCCUCUCUCUUUGCAAAUGUGUUGAUAAGAGUAGACUUACCUGCAUUCUGAGACCCAAUAACCCACACAUUUCCACGAGGGCCAGCCAAUUCCUUGAUAAAAGACAACAAAUUUCUGACACCCAAAUCCUUCCGGGCACUAACCAAAUAAACCCCACUUAGCUUAGGUGCACCUCCAGCCUUGGCCCGAUUCCGUACCCAUCUAUCUAAUCUAGUUGGUGAAAUUUGUGAUGGGAGGAGAUCAACUUUUGUGGCGACAAGAACAAGUUUAGGCAAUUUUCUACUAACCUUUGCCCCAACUCUGCUCCCCUCCAAUGCCUUGAACAAAGACUUUGCUGCCCGUUUUGGAAAUGAACCAUCAAAGUCAACACAAUCAACCACCAUAACUACAACUGUGGCAUCAGCAGUCCCAGUGGGUUUCAUCAACCGGGUAGCAAUCAACCUAUCAAAAUCAAAAUCGGGUAUUAAGUUUUCGGCCAUCUGGUUCUUCACUUGCCCGUAAUUCCUCAAAGAAUGGCACCUUGCACAAACUGUAACCUCCUCCCUCUCUUUCUCAGCCUCCCUAGCCAUUCUCUUCUUCUCAGACUUUGAGACCCUCUUCUUUUUUCUUUUGUUAAUAGUCUCCUCUGUAAUAUUACCAUAUCCAACACCUGCUGGAGCAAAACCAUCCAAGUCCAGAUCGUCAUCUUCACCCUCCAACUCCGAUUCCCACUCAUCAGAAUCCCAAUCAAACUCAUUGCCAUCUUCCGUUCCCAAAUUGCUUUCCUCCCCAUCACUUCCUUCGAAUUUACUCUCAAUAUCAUCCACAACAUCCUCUUCUUCAGAACCCAACUCAUCGACCCAUAAACCCUCCAUAUCCUCCUGACCCUCUGGCAUUUCUGUUAGAGUCAACUUUCUUUUUUGAUAAUAACCAGGAAGAUUUGGGUCUUCAUCUUGCAUAUAAACUCCACAACCAGGACAAAUUUGGCCAUAGCUCUCAUCCUCAUCUUUUCCUUCACUCAAAAUUGGGUUUCCACCAACUUUUCUUGGGUUUUUCCAAUUAUUUUUCUGUGUUUCUUGAAUUGUGUAUUUGCUCUUCACUGAUAAUGCAACAAAUGAAAAUUUGAUGUCGUUCUUCCUGCUAUUUUUUCUCAUUCCUGAUAAGAGAGUAUUUCUAGGUAGUAGGCUUUGGUUUUAAAACAAGAAAAUGGAGAAAAUGAACAACGGAAAACUGAACUCACCUGUAAAAAGACGAAACGUUGCUGUUGAAUUUCCUUCUAUUACACCAUCUUCGAAAAGCACCGGGCUAAGCUUUGCCCCCGUUGAAUGGAGACUCACCGAAGAUAACAAGAUUGCCAUUGCUUCAGCUCCCGCCAGUGGCGCCGUAUCUGCCAAGGCUGAUUAGCUUGGAUGAAAAGAUAAUAGAUUUCGACAAAAGGGAAAAGCGCGAGAAAAUCCUUGAGGCUGCGUUUGGUGGACGGAAUAGAAUGGGAUACGAUAGGAUAGGAUAUAUCCUAGACGGGAUUGGAUAUGUAUUCUAGGAUAUGUGUAUUCUAAAAUUUUAUAUCUCGUUCUAUAAAAAAAUAGAUAUCUUGUAAUAUAAUUCUUAGGGAUAUGUUGGAUAUUAAAUCCAAUAAAUAUUAUAUCCUAGUAUAACAUAUCCAAAAGUAGUACUUAUAUUUGAAUUGUAAAAUAAAUUUAAAAUAUAAAUGAACUAUUUAUUAUUUUCUAAUAUUUAAAACAAAAAAUAUAUUACAUUUCAAUACUUUUUGUUUCAAAAAAUAUGAAAUUUCUCUUACAAUUUAACAAUAUUCAUGAUUGAAAUAUUUAAACUUUAUAAAUAACAAACUUUUAUAUUAUAUUAUUUAAAACAUANNNNNNNNNNNNNNNNNNNNNNNNNNNNNNNNNNNNNNNNNNNNNNNNNNNNNNNNNNNNNNNNNNNNNNNNNNNNNNNNNNNNNNNNNNNNNNNNNNNNUAAAACAUACAAAUAAUUAAUUAAUUAUAUUAAAUAAUACAAAUGUAAAUAUUAUUUCAAAAUAUAUUUUAUAAAUAUUUUAAAAUUUUUAUUUUUCAUAAAUGAGUAAUAUAAUAUAUAUGGUAGAUUUACGAUUAUCAUAUCAUAUAUUUAGUUAAAUAUAAAAUAAAAUAAGUGAAAAUAAUUUAUCUUAUUCUAUCAUCGAGAAAUAUUUAUCCUAUAUCAUAUUACAUCCACCCAACCCAAUAUAACUUAAGAUUAGGUUUAAUCCACUAGAUAAGAUAGGAUGAAGUAUGUAUAACAUAAAAUAUCAUAUUUCAUUUAAUAGGAAAUAUAUACUAAAGAUAUGCAUUUCCUAAUUGAUAUAGUAUAUUUUGAUAUUAAAUUUAAUUAAUAUGAUAACCUAAACUAACAAAUCCAGUUGAAUUGUUCCGUUGUACUAUAUAUAUUUGAUUUAUAAAAUGGAUAAAAAUAAAAUAAAAUGGAAUAUAUAUUAUUUUGCCAUGUUUAAAAUGUUUAUAUUUCAAUAUUUUUAUAUUUAAAAAAAAAUCUUACUUUUCAAUAAUAUUCAUGAUUAAAAUAUUUAAACUUUAUAAUUUUUUAAAAAUUUUAUGUUAUCAAAAUAUAUAAAAAUAAUUUAUUAUAUAUAUAAUAUUUAUAUUAUUUUAUAAUUUUUUUUAGUUCUUUUUCUUUACCAUGAUUUUAAUUUUAUAAUAAAAAUUAUUUUUCAAAAUAAGUAAUAUAAAAAAUUAAAUUUUGAUAAAAGAUAAUAAUAAUUUAUGAUGCAUGUGGUAUGCAUAUCUUGUAUAUUGACCCAAUAUUAACAUAUCUUUGUAUAAAGGCGAUAUAAAAAAAUAAGAUAAAUAAUAUAUCUCAAUUGAACAUAAAAUAAAAUAAAUGACAUAAUUUAUAGUAUUUCAUCACCAAUCAAACAUAAGAUAAAUUAUUUAAUUCAUAUCAUAUCUUAUACAAUAUACAAUCAACCAAAUAUAUUAAAAGAUGCGAGAUAAAAUAGGAUAUGAUAUGUAUGUUUUAAGAUAUCAUUGUAAAAUAAUAUUAAUAUAUGUAUUACACACACAUACAUAUAUAUAUAUAUUAUUUUUUUAAUAUUGGAUAAAAUAAUAUAAAAAAUUUAAUUUAUGGAGUUUAGAUAUUUUAAUUAUGAAUAUUGUUAAACAUAAAAUGAAUUUUACAUUUUUUUAACAUAAAAUAUUAUAAUGUGAUAUAAUUUUUAUUCUAAACAUGAUAAAAUAAUAUAUAUUCCAUUUUUUUUGUUUAUUUAUUUUAACUAAAUAUAAUCAUAAUAUAAUAUAUCUCAUUAGAUUUAUGAAUUUAGAAUUUCAUAUCAAUUUGAUUUAACACUCGAAAAAAAUAUCAUGUGAAAACAUAUCCUAACCCAAUACAAUGAGAUAUGAUAUUAUAAUAUAUAUAGAAUAGUCAACCAAAUUUAGCCUAGUACGAGUAUAGCAUAAUAUAUGAUAGGAUAUGUAUAUUUUAAAAUAUCUCAUCUCAUUGGGUAGUAAAUGCAAAUUUUAAGAUAUCAUAUAUCAUAAAGAAAUGUAUAUCUCAUGAUAUAACUUUCAAUGAAAUAUAACGGAUAUUAAAUUCAAUAAACAUAAUAUUCUACUAUAACAUAUCCAAUGCGAUAUAUUAUAUUAUAUUUAUAUUUAGUUUAUAAAAUAAUUAAAUAUAAUAUAUAUUAUUUUGUAAUAUUUUAUCAGGUUGAAUAUGUGUUAAAAUAGGUAAUAGGAUGACUUAUCUUAUCCCAACAUAGAGUAGGAUAUGUAUUCAUACUAUAUCUAACAAAUCAAACAUAAUUUAAGAUUUGAUUGGCAAGAUAAGAUAAAUAUAUAUAUAUUAUAAAAUAUCAUAUACUAGAAAAUGCAUAUUUUAUGAUAUGAUUUUAAGUGGGAUAUGAUAUGCCUUGAAAAUUAAAUAUAAUGGAUAUGAUAUCUCAAUGUAGUAUAUCCAAUAGGAUUUAUUAUGUUAUGCUUAUAUUUAAUUUAUAAUAUGGAUAAAAUAAAAUAAAAUGGAACAUAUGUCAUUUUUUCAAUUUUUAAAAUAAAAAAUAUUGCAUUAUAAUAUUUUUUAUUUAAAAUAUAUGAAACUUCUCCUAUAUUUAACAAUAUUCAUGAUUAAAAUAUUUAAACUUUAUAAAUAAAAAAAAUUAUAUUAUGUUAUUCAAUAUAUAAAAUAAUAUAUAUAUAUAUAUAUAUAUAUUUUAGUUCAAAAUUAACUUAUUUUAUGUAUAAAUUAUAUAAAAAAGAUAGAUAAUAUAUUUCAUCAUUAAUUCUAUCUUAUGUUUAAUUAAAUAUAUGACAUGAUAAUUAAUAAAAGAUAAAAUAAUUUAUUAUAUUUUAUCCGACCAAGUAAGAUAUUAUACGAUAUUUCAUCUUUUAUCGUAUCCUAUGCAGCCAACCAAAAGAAAGGUUUGCCACAAGUAUUUGUAGGCUCAAGGUAGGGUCUUCUAUUGUCAUCGUCACUAAUCCAUAUUAUUUGUCACAAUUAAUAAUUCAAUUCAUUAAUCAAUUUUACAUAUUCCAAUAUUUAAAAAUAAAAUAAAAUAAAAUAAUAGAUUAUAAAAUCUUACUCGAUUGAAAAAAUGAUAACUUCAUCCACGACGGUAAUAAAAUAUACUCAAUUUUAUUUUUCUAAAAAAAUUAAACUAAGAGGAUCAUAAUUGUUGCUUAUAAAUGGACACGUCCAUGUAACCGGACACGCGUGCUACGCAGGAGCAGCACAUGUCCAUGCAAUGCACAAAGCAUGCCACGUUUCCCACACGCUACCAGCACAUCCACACUCCUACUGUGCUGGACAUAUAUAUAUAUAUAUAUAUAUGACUCCGAAAUACUCCCACAUUGCUUUAUCCACAGCCCCCAGCAUCCCAUUCCGCAGGAAGAGGCGAUAUUAAUGAAAUCUUGUAUUUGUUCACCUCCAUGGGAGGUCCUCCUCCUGGUGGCUCACUACCUUGACCCAAAAGCCCUAGCUAUAUCAUCCUGUGUCUCCAGGUCAUGGUCCAUCUCCAUGUCCUCCGACCACCUCUGGCAGCCCAUCUGCUCUGCCCACUUCCCCUCCCUCUGCAACCUCCGCGCCGCGGACCCCACCGUCCCCUACCGCCGCCUCUACGCUAUCGGCUACGUCUCUGUGAAGCGCCGCCUCCGGAGCCCCUCCAAGCCCCGGCUCUCCCUCGAUGACGUCGUUUUCGCAAUCGACGUCCAGUGCAGGGAUUCCGGCAUCGUGACCAUUGCGAAACCGGCGAGCGACCUGGAGCCAGACCCCAACGGUCUGUUUCGGUUUGAUAUGGAGGUGUGCGAGCCGCCGAGGAUGGCGAAAGUGUUGGCCGGAGUGAGGGUUAUGUGGAGUGUGGUGUUGAAAGGGUGGCAGGGGGUCUUCUCUAUGAUGGAGUAUAAGGGGAAGGGGAGCUUUGUUCCGGACGUGGAGGGGUGGUUCUCGAGUGAGCUGCCGGCGCCGGUGUGUUGCUCGGGUAGGGUGGGAAGUGGGCUGGUGGCGGAUUUGAGGUUGGGGUUUUGUGAGGCUGAAGAUGGGAGAGGAGGGAGGGUGAGAGUGGGGAAGGUGGGAGUGGGUGUGUUGAGUGUAGUGAGCUGGAGAUAUGUGAGUGUUGAUGAUGCUCUCAGGUACUUGCAGCAUUUUCUUUCACCCUCUCAUGACUGAUGAGUAGAAAUGCACCUCUGCCUCAGUGUAUAUCUAUAAUGCCUCUAUUUAUAUUAUCAUGUUAUUAUCUACGUGUGCGCUUGAGAGUUGGGACUCUGUUUUUGUAUUAACAAAUUUUGGAUGUAAAGUUUCAGCGUUUCAAGAAACCUAAAUUUCCUUGGGUGAAAGUUAGAGCAUGGUUUCAGUGUAAAACACAGAAUGGAAAAUAACAGUCUUUUUUAUCGUUUUCUUCGUUAUAUUUAACUAUAAUUUAAAAAUAAAUAAAUUGAAUAUUUGUAUUAGAAGUUUAAUAUUAAAUGAAAUAAAAUUGUAAGAUACUGUACAAUAAAUAAUUAUAAAUUAUUUUGGUAUUUAAAAAAUAAAAAAUAAGGAGGAAAUAUAAUAUAAUAAUAUAGGAUAAUAUAUUGUACAAUGGUCCAAGGAAAUUGUUGAGCUGGUUGGGCUCAAUUGAUUAAAAUGGAUUUUAUACCCUCCUACUUUGAAUAACAUUUGAUGUUCUAACCUUCAACCACCGUUUGUUUGGUUAGUGAAAUUGUGAAUUCAUUUAAUAAUUCUAAUUUAUCUUGUAUUAUUUAAAUCUAAAAUUUGUACUUGGAUUUUGUGAUAAUGUUUUUUUAUCAUUUUUUUAUAAACCUUUGAGAUGUAAUCUAAAGUGUAGGAUAUUGUUCAAGUGAAAAAUCUAGUGUGAGGUGUUUGGACCCACAAAGUUCAAUCUGAAAUCAUAGUGUGAGGUGUUUGGAGCCACAAAGUUCAAUCUGAAAUCAUAAUUCAAUUAUAAUGUUUGAGAGUUUUUGUUAAAAGUCUUAGAUUAGUAAAACCUUUACUCAUUUAAGAGUUUGAGGAAAAUGGACAUAGACCAAUCGAUUACAUAAAAUCAUCAUAAAAUUUUGAGUUUGCAAUUUUAUUUUUCUACUCUAUUUAUUUCAUAUGCGUUUUUUUUUUCAUCAUAUUUAUUACAUAAUUGUAUAUACAUAAUUGUAUAUAUAGUUGUAAGGUAAUUAGCUUAGGUUGGUUUAACUAUAAUCCUAACACAUGAGAAUAUACAAUAUAUAUAAAUUCUUAUAAAUUUAUAAAAUUCCUUAAAUGAGUGUAUAAAUAUGUUGUUUUUUAUUUAUUUAUAAUUUUUUUAUGAAUUAUUUUUAAAUGAGUUAGAAAUCAAGAUUACGAGGAAAUAUUUUAAGCUUUUUUAAAAAAGUAUUGAUUUUUAAUAAAAUCCAUUUAAUUAAUUAUAUCAAAACUUUAAUUUUUUUAUAUGAAAAUUUUAAAUUUUAUCUUAAACAAAUUAUUAAUUAAUUGGUUUUUAUUUUUAAUAAAAUAAUUACAUUUUUAUGAAGAGGUCAAUAUCAAUAUUUACCAAUAUUGUUAUUUUUUAAUAAAAAAAUAUAAUCUAUGCUUUUAUGAUGAUACUUGUAUUAAUAAUUUGAUUACAAAUUAUUUACUUUAAAAUUAUCUAUAAUUUUAAAUUUAUUUAUUUUAAAAUUAUUUUUAUUUUUAAUAAAAUAAAAUUGAAUUUAAUGAAUAUUGCAUUUUUAAUAAAGUUUUAGUUGAAUUUAAUUAUUUAUUAAAAUAGAUGUUCUAAUUCUUAGUUUUUUUUAUUUAUCAUAUAAUAAUUUUUAUUAAUUAAAAUUUUAUUUAUUUGAAUUUUAAUUUUAACCAUUUAAAAGCAUGACCACUGAUAAUUAAAUAUUAUAACAAGUGAAAUUUUAGUAUUGAAAUAUAAAAAAUAAAUUAAAAGGAGAAUAUGAUUUUAAGCAAAACCAUGGUAAUUGACCGCCUGUAGUGUCAAAAAGCAUGUCGGUUUAGGUGGAAACUGUACUAAAAUAGCACUGUACCGUAUUAAAAUUACGAUAGUACCAUUUUCUUCCCGCCUAUUUAAGAUCCUCGAUCCUUCACAAUUCAUUCGAACUCGGAAGGACAUGGCGCCAAAAAAGAGCUUACAGCACUCAUCAAUUCCAAUCGGUAAAUCAGAAAUCAAAACCCUAGGAGACUCUAGGUUUUCUAAUCGAAAGAUUUUGAUGGCAAUGGAUUUCAAAUUUUCAGGAAAUUGCGAGAUCUCAAUACAAGGAAAGGCUACCUGCCAAUCGGAUCCAAACUGCCUUCUCAUUUCUGCAUCUAAAAAUACAAAAAUAAAAGUUUCAGGUACUGGUUUUUAUUUGUUAGAGAUUUUGGUUUCUUUUUGCCUCCUAGAACUGAUUUUGGUUCGCUCUAUUGGGAUGAUGGUAAAAUGAAGAAAAAAAACUGAAAAGGGAGGCGAAUGUUGAAAUUUUUAUUAAUCUUGAAUGCUGCUUUUUCUUUCUUUUUCAUUUUGAUGGUCUGUUAUUGAUAUUGAUGUCGAAUACUGGAAGGGAUUGAAGGAAGAGAAGAGGAUUGAAACAUUGAAUCUUGAAAUUUUCAUCAUUCUUUACUCUAUAGCAGGAUUUUUUUUUGGUUUUUUUCAUUAAUCUUGAAUGUUAAGAUUCACUUUCCUUUUUUCAGUAGGAUAUACUGUUUUUUAAUUGGUCUGUUUGGUUGAUGGGAAGAUGAUGGGAGAUACAAUAAAAAAUAAGGUUUGAAUCUUGAAAUUUUCACUGAUCCUGAAUCUUGAAAUAAUGCUUUAUUAUCAUUUUUUUUAUAUUAUUUUUGCUCAAUAUUGAAUAUCGAAUUUCUUUUUCUUUUUAUAUUUGGUGAGACUGAUAUUAAUUGGUCCAAUGGAAGAACAAGAAAUUGAAUCUUUCAAUCUUGAAAUUUUCUUUUCUUGGCACCCAGGUAAACUGCAAUUUGGAUUAAUGUAAAAAUAGCAGAAUUUAAUUUUUAUUUCCUUUUUUGUUUUCAGUUCAAGAGCAUUAAUCUUAAAACCCUAGAAGUGGUUGCACGUGUUUGAUGGUUUGGAUUUAAUUAUGGUUUCUUUUGUUUUCUUGACAAUCAAACUAUCGUGAGUCUUGUUGUUCUGAGUAGAAGUUUUGUAGAACUUUUUGCUAAAUGUGUCUUGAUCAAUUUGGUUGCUGAUGAAAUGAAGGAAAAGAAAAAGAAUCGAUAGUUGAACUUUUGAACUUUUUAUUAUUUUACAUUUGAGGCAGGGAAAAAAGGAAAAAUGAGAAGAUAAAAUUCAGAAUCUUCCUUUUAGUCUGGUUGCUUAGCAACUAAAUGUUCAUGAUGUUAUUUCCGCUUUGAUUUGAAGUCUGAUUAUUAUCUCUUAUUGUUUGCUUUAUUGUAUGUAUCAGUAAUGGAAGACGUGGAUGGCAAGAAUUGCAAUGAUCUUCGGCAUUUGAGAUUGGAAGAAAGUGGUAUAGGUUUUUUCUCAUCUUUUUUUUUUUCCUGAUAUAAUUUUUUUUUUGAUCUUGGUCUUUGUUAGAGUGCAUGAUAGACAUUGUAAGUCCAAAUGCUAUAAGCUUAAGCUUUUAGGAAAAUUGGUUGUUCAACAUGGUAUAAGAGUCUCGUUUGGGGAAAGGCCAUGUGUCCAUAUGUUUAUGUCCCCAAUUUAUUAAGUAAGCCUAAAAAGAAGCUGAUUGUGGUUGUUUGCCUAUGGGCUUGUGUUUCUCCAUGUGUGUGUACGGGUUGCAGUGAGUGAGGGUGUUAGAGUGCAUGAUAUAUAUUGUGGGUCCAAAUCCUACUAGCUCAAGCUUUUAGAAAAAUUGUUUGUUCAAUAGUCUUGAAUAUUUGAAUUUGUUGUUAGUCCUUGCAUUUGCAUAACUUUAUUUCCAGGUCUUACCUUGUUUGUUUGUUUUACUUCAGUGAAAGCAGAGAGAACAUCUUUUGGGGAUGAGUACUUCUUUUUGCUUAUUAACCCUAAGGAUGUCUGUAGCCAAAGCAAAUCUCUUCUUCAGGUAACAUCUAUUUGUAUAGGUGCAUGGUACUUGGAUAUGGGAAAUAGAAUGUCUGCUUGAUAAUUAUCUGUGACCUGUGAAUGAUGAGUGUGUGUAGAGAGAUGCGUGAACAAAUUGUCAAUUGCAUGAGGACCGAAGAGCUACACCAUAUAAAUCCGGCUAGUUCGCUGCCCAAUUUUUUACUCUCUCCUUGAAGUUAUGAUUCCUAGGUCUGGUGGCUAUGGAUAGAGUAUCUAAUGAAAGCUCCUCGCAUCACACCUUUCAUCCAAUGAACAAAGAAUUUCAGGCAAAUCACAUCAAAAUAUGGUGCACCUCUCCAUUUCAUUUCAUCAGGACCUUAGCACUGAAUUCUGAACCAGGCAUUUUAGCAUCUUCUUUCUUUCUAACAAAUGAUAGUAGUAGUGAUUACAUGGCUGAGUAUGCAUUGUAGCAUAUUCAGCCACACAACCAAGAAUAGAACAUAUCAGUUGCAAGUCACAUUGCAUAGGUUUCACUGCAGUUGCUGAGUUAGCCAUCCUCAAAGUAAAGCGGAUCCUAGAUUCUAGAUCUUGUCCUUUCAUGCAUUUGGAACAUUGGUUACCAUGUCUCCCUGGUUUUUUUUUAUUUUUAUUUUUAUUUUAUGUAGAUGUGUGUAUAUGUGUAUUGGAAAUUAUAUUUGCAUGCAUUGUGAAUUAUAUUUAUUUGCAUGUAUUGCAACUCGUGUUGCCAUAGAGUGGAUGACAUGAUUUAUUUCUUCCACACAAAAAAAGAAAAAAAAUAUAAAAGAAAAGUAACAAAUAAACAUAAAUGCUCAUUUGUUAUUUCUCUUUUUCAUGUUUUUAGGUAUUAUUCUCUUUCCCAAUUCAGUGAUAUUUUCCUGUUGAAGUUUUGGUUCAGUGUCAUGUCACACACAUCCAAUUAGCUGCUUUAUUUGUUUAUUUUUUCAUUUAAUAUCUACAGCUAUCUUAAGCUUGUGGCUGUUUGGGUUUGUAGGAGGUAUUGAACAUAUACAAGGAGGAGUUGCCUGCAAUGAAUUAUGCUGCAAAUACUGGGAAAGAGUCAAUGUUCCUUGAAAGAUGUGUAUCAAAUGGGUAUAAGAUGUUUUUUUAUUUUGUUUUCUCCCAUUGCAUACAUACUUGUUUCCAAAAUGACUGUUCCUCUUUGUACAUUAUGCUGAUCCACAUUGAAACUUCAAUUACAUAUGUUUCAACAUCCUUGUGCGUAAACCUAUGCUACUUAGCUAUCCCCUGUGACUCAUUUAAAUGACUAGGUCAAGUAGCUGUGAAUUACUCAAACAAUCUGUUGCUUUUGAUUUUCUCCAGGAAAUAUUGCUCAUUGCUUUUGCUAUCAAAUUUCAUGGAAGGACCUGGCAAGGUACUUCUGCUUUACAGUUUUUGUUUGUCUAUGAAAUUGGCUUGGGUGUGGAACCCUUUCUGAUUUUCAUAUUUCCCUCCAACCAGUCAGACCUGAGCUAAGUCUUACAUGUAUGAACAAGCAUUUGCUAGAUAAGGCAAGAGUUGUUGUUCAUUGAAAGUUAUAAAGCACGGUUCUACAAGCAGGAAAUUGAGAUGGAUUAUGUUUCUUUCCUCUGUUUUUCUCACUGUUUCAAAGUGUACUAGUUAAAGUUUUGCAUAACUCUGUUUUAUCUUGAUAUUUCAUUACUACUCAUUGAUAGAGCAUUAUAGUUCUUCAGUCAUAGCUAAUCUUGUUUCAUGAUUCAUCCUUGUUUUCUUUAUACAGGUUAUAGCUGCAGUUACUUACCAAAUCAUUCCUGCUGACACACAGUAUGCUGAGAUUCCUCUUACUGCUGUUAGCUCAAACUUUCAAAGCAAGGUUAGGUGUUCGUUUUGAGUUUCAGUGCCUAAUUUUGGUGCAAAAUAUCAGUAAUUUUAGGCUUGUUUUUUCUAUGCUAAUAUAACCAAACCCAGUUUUCAAUUAUAAGUUCUUGCAACUAAUAUCUAUCUAGUUUAUAUUUAUAACACUUCUCACUAUGCUGUUUAAUGCUCAAUAUCAAUUUUCUUGGUUUUGUGUGAUACAAUAGAGAAGAUGAGGUAAAUAUCUUAAAACAGAAAAAUAAAACUGAACAAGCUGUGGACAUGGCAUAAGUGGAUGGAAACAAGAGGCCUUCUAAAGCAAAAUAAUAAAUAUUCAUGGCUGUAAUUUGUUGAAGGCUCUUUGCAGAGAUUUACUGGACUUUUUGGACUUAGCUUUUCAGUAUUACUUAAAUUUCAAGUGAAUGCAGCGUAACAGCUUACAUUACAAGGAAUUUUGCUUUUAAAUCUGUUGCAUUUUUACUUUUCAUUCAUGCAUGGAUUCUCUUGCUGUUUCUGUGAUUGUGAUAAUAAUUAUUAAUGAUUUUAUGGGGCUUAUUUUGAAAUUAAUCACAUGGCAAUCAAACCACUCUUUUGAACUUUUAGGGGAUUGGUCGCCUCUUGUACAUAGAAUUGAGAAAAAGGCUUCAGAAUGUUGGUAUUCGCACGAUAUUCUGCUGGGGAGACAAGGAAUCUGAAGGAUUUUGGCUCAAGCAGGUAUGUUGGAAAAGCUUGUAAUAAGAGUACAUAGCUGAGGUUGGUUUGUUUAUUUGUUUAAUAUUUUUAAUUUUUCUUAUUAUUAUUUUCCUGAAGCCACAUUUCUAAAAUGAGGCUUUAGGACACUAAAGCUGCAUCCCCGAGACAUGGUUUCAGAAUAGGACAUCAUGUUUUCAUCAUGAUUAUCUACUGCUACAUUAUUCUGAUAAAACUUGAAUCAUCCUUUUUCUGUGGAUAUAAUUGUUGUGCUUAACAGUCUAAAAAAUAUUACCAUAUUUGCAUGUAGGAGGCUGCUUCUUAGGGUAAGCUUUGGACUUGAGGCAUAAUUAUUCUAUUGUGAGAAAUAGAAAACUCGGCAGUUUCUGUAGAAAUAAUUGCCUUCUUAUUUAUUGCAUUUGAUUUAUGAAAGCGGAUUAUGAUUGCAGGGUUUUGUAUCGAUAGCAGAAGUGGAUACCAAAGGGAGAGCUCGCAGACUACCCAUUAGGGCUGACAUUCGCAGGGCACUGUGCUUUCCUGGUGGAUCAACCCUCAUGGUUUCUCAUCUCAGCAAAGACAUUUCAGCUAACUUUUCAGAUGCUGUGAAGAAGUCUUUUUCAUUAAAGCCUCAUGAGAAGUCCUCAUCACUUGAUGUUCAAAUUCAAGGGCUGGGAGAUAUAGGGGAGAGUCUUGAUACUCUAAAAGCACCAGUUCAAACUAGCCUUAAAACAUUUCUACCUCAUGUUUUGGUGAAGGAUGGAUUCCAGAAAGAUGAUGACAUGUUGGAUGGUAAGUAUCCAAUUAUUUGUUUUGGUAAUUUAUUCUUCCUAUCUAACAAUAUGCCAGCAGUUUUCUUGUAUCAGAAAUUAUACUCUGGUAAAUUAAAGAUGAUAUGGAAUUUAAGUAAUUUAAUCUUGUUUUUAAUAUCAUCUGAAUCAAAAUUUUGUCUUCUGGUUAACUUUUGUGAAGAAAAGAGUCAUCAUUUGAACAUUUUUUAUUUGAUAAUUAUCUUUUUCUGACACAAGGAAUUUAACCUUGAACCUUUCCAUCUCUGCCCUCAAUCCCUCGCCACUCGAGAGAGUCAUCACUUGAACUGUUACUAACAAGUUGAAAGGAGUCACUGUAUAUUUAAAUCUUGAAAAUGACACGUUCAUGUUACAGCUCGCAGCUAAACAAUUUGAAUAGCUUAAAAGAUGACGUAGAUUAAUUCAUUUUUUUUUUUUUUGUGAUCCUAAUUAAAUUUCCUUUUUGCAAACAAUUUUAAUUAUGCUUCCAUGAUGCAAAUGUAAUAUCCUCUGCUGUUCUUAACAGGUUCUUUUCAUAAUCAUGAGUCAAUAAAUGUCUGUAGAGACCUGGUUCCUUUUGAGGAAGUAGAUUGCAACAACAUGACCAAUGAUGUAAGAUUAACUGGUGUUGGAACUGAUGUUGAAGCAAACUGUUCCUGUUCUGCACAUGGUGCCAAAAAGAGGGUUUGGGAAGCCUCAUUGUCUUCACUGAAGUCCAAAAAAGUAAAGGGAAGUCAUCAAAUUGGCUGCCAGUUAGAUUCCAACUGGGAUAUUGUUUCGGGAAAUGGUAAAAUAGAUAAUGUGUGUUUUGUUGGAUGCUCCUUGGGCACUACUAGAAAUGAAUCUUUGUCUGAAGUUCUCCCUAGGGAUAUUCUGUCCAGUAGCUAUGUAGAGAAGAAUGUUGAAGAUUGUAGGCCACUGUCAAAAGAUCAGCUCAGCUUUGAACUUCAAGAAAAGGGAGAAGGAUUUAGAAUCAUGUUGAUGAAUAUUGCUGAUGAUACUAAGAAAGCACAUCUUACAAAGGUAUUCAGUUUAUUUACUCUGUUUUUAUUGAUGUAAUGUUCAUAAUGAUGUUGCAAAGCAUCUGUGGUUUUGCAUGUUCUGUUACUGAGAUUAAAUAGCAUGAUGAUGUGUUAUUGAGUCAGAUCAGUGUUGAAAAAUGCUUUGAAAAUGGGAUCUAUUUCAAGUUUGUUGCUACUUUGAUAUUUAGGAAAGUCAUCUUUUCUCCAUAGGUGACAGGAAAUUCUUCUUAAUUUGGCCUACUCUCAGAACUGGGUUUCAUAGUGUGAAACCUAAGGUUUGGUAGCUGAUUCAGGAUGUCAACCCUUAUUUUAUGUCGAGUUGCGGAAUGUAGUUUCCAGAAUGAAUAAAAUCAGUCAUUUUUGAGAGUGGAAUAAAUGCUCCAUCUAUUCAAUAGCUUUUUUGUUUUUUAUGCUAAUUUUGGAACCUGCAUUCUGAGGUCGUAUUUUUAUCUAUUACAAGACUUUACCAAAUAUCUACCUUCUCAGUUGUAACAAUCCUGCAAUAGAUUGCUAUCUGUGUCAUUGGAAACUGGAAUAUUUUUAUCUUUGAGGCUUAACUUCAUGUCUCACCUCCUGUAUCAUUUGCUUUUCUAGAUAUGGAAUCUUGAAUUCAACUUUAGCGAGAAAUCAAAACCCCUUUAAAUACAUUUUACUGAUAUUUUGUUCAUUAUAUUAAUUUAUUGAAUUAGUUAUUGCAUACUGAUUUUGGGGUUUGACUAGCCCAUUCAUCAUGAGUUGAAAAUACUUCUGUGCUGUAUAUUGUUCUUUCCCCCCAGUAUUUCUAUCUGUUUAUUACUUCAUUUUUUUUCUUUAACAAUUUUUAUGUAGAUAAUCAAGGAUCUUGGUGGUUCUGUAACCUCUGAUGGAAGUGCAUGCACACAUGUUGUCACAGGAAAAGUGAGAAAGACACUGAAUUUUUGCACUGCUUUAUGUUCCGGGUUAGUUUUAAUCAGAACUGAAAAUUAUACCACUUGAUUCCAGAGCUUUCUGCCUUCAUCAUUAUAUUUUUUAAUCACAUAGUAUUAUCUAUUAUAAGUUUUGUAGCCUGUAAUUAUUAAGCUUUAGAUUAUGUUGGAUUUUUUCUAUCAUGUUAUUGUGUUAUUUUCUUUAGUAGUAUUCAUCAUCCCUAUAAAUACUGCUGUUAUGGUAGAAUUUAUUGAUUCCUGUGCUGUAAUGGGUGUCAUUCGUUUGUUGUAGUUGAACUGUUUAAGGUGAAUGAGGUAACUGUCCAGAAAAUAGGGAAAGGCAUUUGGAAGUGAAUAGUUCAAUCAGUUGUGAUUGUGCACAGGCAAGAAGUUGAGAGAAGCAAAAAAUAUCACAAUAGUUGCAUUCAUUGUUAGAUUUUUUCACUAUUAUAAUAAUGAAGCUUUGCCCUGGUAGUCAUAUGGCAAGACAGUAAACAAACUUGCAGGUUUACAAUUUUGGUCAAAAGUCCUUUUCUUCCCAUUCUAGUCCCUGUAAAAUCUUCUUGGCUAUUGAUUAUUGGACUUUGGUUGUCGCUUCUCAUAGUUCUGUUAUUGCCGCUGUUCUACUAGGCUACUAGCUUCCUAGUCUGUAUACACUUGUCUACAUAAACACGUCUUUCUUGGUUAUUAUAUAAUAUGGGUGUAUUGAUUGUUAUGCAGAGCUUGGAUACUAUCUCCUAGUUGGUUGAAAGAAAGCUUCCACGAGGGCAGAUUUGUGGGUUAGUCAAGAGCACUUUGUGUCUUUUAGCACUAACUUUUAUCCAAGCCUUCUUAACACGUUUUUGGGUUUUCACUUGUUUACUUACAGAUGAAUCAGCAUUUAUUUUAGAAGAUGCUGAAUAUUUGUUUAAGUACAGAGCUGAAAUAAAAAGUGUAAUUCUUAGAGCAAAGGCAAGGCCCCGAGCUUUGCUUAAAGGAUACAGUGUAUGCCUUGCACCUCAUGUGCAACCUGCAGUUGAGACCUUAUCAACAAUUGUCAGGUUUGCUGGCGGAAAGGUAUGUUAGAAACUCACCAAGUUCCAUACUAAUUAAGCCUGUGGAAAAGUUACUUAUAAUCUAAUCAUUAUAUGUUCUAUGUAACAUUUGUAAAUAUAUGUAAAGCACGGGAAACUUAUGAAGAUGGUGAAACUAACCCCAACCUUUUUAUUUGAUCAGGUAAUUUAUGGAUUGGAUGUGGUUGAUGCAUCAAAAACAAUUUUUGUGGCGUGUGAAAUAGACAUGGAGGAAGCGCUGUUGGCAGUGAAGAAAAGGAUAUGGACUUUCAGCAGUGAAUGGUUUAUGAACUCUAUCAUGAGACAGGAGCUCGACUUUGAGGCCCCCCAGUUUGCGGAGUCUCUGUAAAUAGACGUAUCAAGAUUGCUACGAUCAGGUAAAUAGUUUUUCCUCUUUGGCUCACCGUGAUGGAGUGUUUGGUACUCCAAAAAUGAGGAACGGAACAAAUAAUUUGUUUUCAUUUUUAUUCCCUCCUGAACAGGAAUGAAUUUCGGUGAUUUCAAUUAUUAUGUUUAGAUGCAUAUUGGAAUGUACCGGUAAAAUAAUAAUUUAUUUUAAUUUCAAUAUUAAGUAAAAAUUGGAAUGAAAAUAAAAAAACUAAAUUAUAAAUAAUAAUAUCUGUACAUAUUAUUUAAAAAGGGAAUGAAAAAAAAACACUAAAUUAUAAAUAAUAAUAUUUGUACAUAUGGUUUAAAACAACAUUUUUUUUUAUUUUUUUUAUUUUUUUAAAAAAUCUCACAUUGUACAUGAUUAAAAAUAUAUAUUUUGUUAUUUUCAUUUAAAUCUUUUAUUAAAUAAUACAAAUGGGUUUGAUUUAAAAACAAAAUUAUUUUAAAAAAUUACUAUUUGGUUGUUCUUUAAGAAAUGAUUUAAAAAACAAAGUGAAAUAAAGAAUUGUUCUUUUUUCUUAUUAAAGAAGAUAAAUUUUAAAUCAAGUGAGAUUUGUAUUGAAUUUAUUAAUAAGUUUAAUAAUUUUAAAAAAUAAUUUAAAAUUCAAAAAAUAUAUAUAAUGAUUAUAAAAAAUAAUAAAUAUAAUUAAUGCUUUUAAUUCUUUAAUAAAUCUUGUAAUUUUUUAAUAACAACUUCAAAUUCAAAAAAUUGAUUAAUUAAUUAUAGAUUUAAUAAAGUUAUAUAGAAUGUCAUAUCCUUAAUUGAAUAAUAAAUAUAUACUAUAAUAAAAAAUUUGAUUCAUUUAUACCUUAAAAAAUUAAUUUUUAUAUGUUUUUAUAUUCAUUUAAAAUAGAAUAGUAUUAGUAAUUAUUAAUUUUGAAUAAUUGUUUUUUAUUAAAAAAAGAAAUUAAUUAUGUUUUCAUAAGGUGUUAAUAUCCAUAUUUUUAUAAUAUUUAUAAAAUCAUAUAAAUAGUAUUAAAAAUGAUUAACUUUGAAUUAUUAUCAUUUAAUUUUAAUAAAAUUAAUCAAUUAAUUUUUAAUGUAAUUUAUAUUACAUAAAUUAAAUUUACACUUUGUGUUUUUUACAAAAUCAAAAUAAAAAAAUAUUUUUAAAACUAAUUUAUCAAAAAAAGUCUUUAAUUUUUUAUUUUUUGAAAAAUAUUUUAAAAAAUAACUUGCUUUAAAAAAUCAAACGAAUUGAAAUUUUAUUUAUAAGUAGAAUUUUAAAUUAUUUUUUUUUUAUUUUUUAUUAUCGGUUAAGAUAUUUAAAUAUAAGAAUGAAAGAGAAAAUAAAUGGGAUGUGAACCUCAUUGGGUGCCUAUGAAAUGGGAAGGAUGAUAAAUGCAUGCUGUAUCAAUCGAAGUAACAUGUGACUUAUGAUCUUGUCACUUAAAAUUUGAAAAGGUUAGUCAUAUGAAUCGGGAAUUCAAGCUGAAUGGGAUGGUUUUCUAAUUUGUUGUUGGACUUGUCCCAAUGCAAUCAGAUACGGGGUUCCUGGUGUUGGACGCUUGCCUUAAUUUUUAAAUAUCUGGGAUGAAAAAGGGUAAAUGUAGAUAAUUCUUGCACCAGGUAAAAGAUUUUAAAAAAUCUCCAAUUUCUUUAAGGACGAUUUACGGAUAAAUCAAAACAUGGACACCGUGUUUUGGACGAAUUUAGAUUUAAAUAAAAAGGAAAAACGAAGUCCAGAUAACCACGGAGCAAGUUGCUCGCUUGCUCCUUGGUCCCGUUCUCAGUUUAUACUUUUAAAUGGUCUUUCUAUAUUCUAUAGCAACCUGACCGCACUCGACCCUAGUCUCACGACUCUCACCGUAAACAAAUCUAAUAUUUUUGCAGUCACCUGACGGCGCAGCUUCAUGGCGAAAAUGGCGGCAGAGUCAGUGACUGUGUCCGUACAAAGAGCUCCAUUUAGCUCCAAGUGGCAAGCUUCAAGAAGGGACAAGUUGCAUACCCAGGUUCGAGCUUCUCAGUCCAUGGAUGACAAGAACAAAGUCUUCAAAGAGCUGGGUCUGUCUCCAUAUGCUUUCCCUCUUCUCAUACUUUCACAGUUUUUGAUAAGGAUGGUUGAGCCCCCCUUUUUUUCCUGAUUGUUUGUCUUUCCGUUGUCGAAAUUUUGAAAUGGGUGUUACCCUAGUGCUAAAUCCAAUUGCUUUAAAUGCCGAAAUAUUACUUAUUAUUGUGCAAAUCCAUUCUGGAUGUUCAAAUUUGAAAACGGGUAGGACUCUUUUUCUCUAAAUUUUUAGCUCGUCAGGUGUAUGAUAAAAUUUCUCAAAUACUUUUAAUGCACUCUCUCUGAUUUUGUGUAUCAUGUGUCAUAAGGAUAAGUAAUAUCUCCUCUUACUUUGGUUUUGUAUUUGAAAAUUUGAAAUUGGUCGGAACAAAUAUCAAUAUCCAAUUGGUUUAUGCCGCAAUGCUUUUUUUUUUUGGUGGGAAUUUAUUUUGAGCGGUUAAAUUUGAAAUGGAUUGGACUAAAUUUCGUUGAAGUUAAAUGGUUUUUACUAAGAUAGAGGAUGAAAUUAAAGCUUGGCUUUCAGGCCGACUUGGUUAAUAAGCCAAAAAUGAGCAACCAUUAGUGAGGUUUGAACUCGAGUUAGCAUUCUGGUUUGCUUAGAAUGUGAAGCAUGUAUAACAGUGGGUUUUCAUUGUCUAUGGUUGCAAAUAGUUGAGGUGAUUAUCAUAUAUAACCACAGAAACAUAUGCUUAAGAAACUACCGAAGGAAUUGAGAUUGGGUGGAGGUAACAUGUAACAUGUGGUAACAAUGUUCAUGAGAAAUUAAUUGUGCUUUUGGAGUCCUAAAUUUUUGAGUUAAGGGUAUCCAUCAUGUAUUGGGAUGCACUCGAUAAUCCAGACCAGACAGAUAGCUCUCUCAGUUGGGCUCAUGAACAAGUUUGAGCUUGAAUAGGGUUGAUUGAACCUGAUCAAGCUUCAUGUCCGGUGCUUCAUCUAACUUUCUCCUAAUGAUUGAAGAAUGAAUGCUAGGCUUGACUUUGUUUUCCUAGUACAGAGAGGAGGUAUGAAGGAAAGGAUGGACAGUGAACUAUAGGUAAAAAGCAUUGAUGCAUCUAAACUUGCAGAUACUUGUGGACUUAACUACCAUUUCUCAAAUGGGUAAAACAUAUUUGGUAUGUGUAAAUGGUGGGAAUGAAAUUUUUGUUUUCCAUUUACGAAUGACCUGAUCAGAACUAAAUGAUGAAUUGUGAUUAUUUGUUUAUAAAAGUGAAUAUUUUGCUAUACAAGGAAAUAAUGUUCUGCUGUGCUUCAUCACUUACAUGUUAUUGGAAGUAAUAUUUGUUUUUUUUCCAGGUCUGUUUUCAUUAAGAAAGAAGAUUGAAGGUGUAGUUCUCCAAGCUGAUAUGUUAGCACCGGCAGCAUUGGAACUAGAAGAAGCAUCACGGAUUAGGCAGGAAGAAAUGAUACGGAAAUAUAACUUAUGGGAUGAUGUAACUAAAUCCAAUGAAAUUCUUGGCAAGUUAGCUGAUAGUUCCAAAGUGGUUGACACUCUCAAAGACCUAACUUAUAAGGUAAUGUGUUAUUCGUUAGUAGAGUUCAACUGGUAAUUUUUGUUUGUUUCUUUUUUUCUCAGUGGGGAAACCACUGUGGACCUCCAACCCAAUCUGUCCCUGCAGAUUUUCAUGGAAAUCUCAUCAAAAGAAUAUGCAUUUUCUUUAACAGGAUUAUGGCACUAAGAGUUUGGCAUUUUGUUGAUUAAGCCAACUACGUGUUAUCAGAAGCAUGUAUAGGGCCUGGAAUCCUUACCUGCCUUAAUCAUAAUCAUCGUUUUUAGUAUAUUACUGUCUGUUAUGGGUCUCUGGAAUUAGAAGAUAUUUAGAUGAAUACACACAUCCACAUGUGUAGUUGAGUUAUCCUAUUUCUGCCUACAUAGUUGAAUUCAUCUGUAUCUAUCAUCCAGAUAAAUGGCUUGAUAAGGAAACAAAUCUCCUUCAAUUUUCCCCCCUAAAUAUUUUCUGUGUGAAACAUUGUCAAUGGUUUGCAUUACUUUGUUUGUGGUGUUAUUUUUCAAAAUCAAGGUGAAGACGAUGCAUUACAUUUUUUACUUGAUUAUGUCUGCAAAUUGGUUCAGGCUGAAGAAGCAAAGUUGAUUACUCAGCUGGUGGAGAUGGAUGCAAUAAAUCAUGGGCUUUUUGAGCAAGCAUAUAAUGCAUCUGUAGAUGUAAGCAAGUUCUUGUAUCAGUACGAGAUGUCCAAACUUCUCAGGGGCCAAUUUGACAUGGAGGGAGCAUGCCUGACUAUUAAAGCAGGGCCUAGAGGCAUUUACUCUGAGGUUUGAGAACCUUGUUCUGAUUUUAGAUUUAAACAAGAAAAAAGUAAUGAUAAUGGAGUGCUGGAGUGGGAAUUUGGUGCAUUCGCCAUGGCUUGGAACUUCCUAUCAACUCCCAUCACCCUCCACAAACUAAUUCCGCUUACAGAGUGACUAAACCUAUGCAUUCUUCACUUGAUGUUGGACUUGAGCUUCCUUUGAUUUUGUAAAUUAGUUCUGAUUUUAGGGACCAGACUUAGUUUUAACUCGAAAUUUAAAACUUAGGAUCCUAUAUAACAGAGGUUCUUUGAUUCUUGGCAAAAUUUGCUUUGAUGCUUAACUUAAAAAGAAUCUAUUCCUCUUUUCCCCUUCAACUUAGCGUAUGAAGAGGAUGACAUAUUGUUAAUAUUAUCUAAGAUAUGAAGAUCCCUGGCAUAUCUUGAAGUUUAUGUAUUUUAUAAAUUAUGGCAUAGCCUUAACAUAGAUGAGUGUCAUUAUAUUCUAGUGUGUGAAGCCUGUGAACUGAAGGUGCUGAUGUCUUUAUUCAGCUGGAAUUAUCUGCUUAUAAAAGGCUUUUUUGAAUUAAGUUGUAGAUAGACCUUUAUAUGAUCUGCAAAAAUAUUUCCCCUUCUACAACAUGAUUUUACUAAUAUGCGAAUUCAGAUAUGGGCAGAACAACUUCUCAGCAUGUAUACCAAAUGGGCUGAAAAGCAAGGUUACAAGGGAAGGGUAGUUGAGAAGUAUGCUUCCAAGAAUGGUGGUAUCAAGUCUGCAACUAUUGAGUUUGAAUCUGAGUAUGGUUAUGGCUAUCUUUCAGGAGAGAGGGGAGUUCACCAUAUGAUAAGAAGUUCAGAUGAUGAAUCUAUACUCCAUGAGGUACAAACUAUCAGUUUCCUUCUGGCCUGAAGUAGGAUAUCAAAAUUAGUAUAUAAGCUUUGAUAGAUGAAUAUAAGGGGUUUGUGUUUAUGUGAAAUCACUUCUUCGUGCUUGUAGAAAGUCACAAAAUUUUCCCCUUUUCUCCUUUUUUCCCCUUUUGAAUGAUGGAUAAGAUUUUAAUCACUUAUUUUAUAGAGUCCUAGGCUUGUGUUAUUUCAUUUCUGAUUUCCAUGGAGCAUGAAUUUGCAUUUACAUUGGUACCUAUUAAUUACUAAGGUGUUGUUUGUUUUUUAAAAUUUUUCCUGAAAGCAACUUGGAUUCAGAUUUCUGAUAAUUUGAUUUUUACUUUUGUUGACUUAUUUCUUAAUUUGUUUUACUGAAUAGAAAAAACCAAAUUAUUUGACUUUUUUCUGAAUGCUAAAAAUAACAUGUUGAAACCAACCAGCAAAACAAAAUCCGAAGACUUGACCCUCACCCUCCACCAACAUAACUAAAAAGCUAGAAACACUUCCUAGAAUCACUACCAAAUGUACUCUAAAGUGAAUGUAUUGAAUUUUUUUUUUUAACUAAAUAAUAUUUAAUAAAAAUAAAAUAUUAAAAAAACAAAGAACUUAAUGCUUGACACUAUUAAGUAUUAUUUAGCCUUAAGUUUUAUUUAGAAUUAAGUCAAAAAAACAAACACCACCUAAGAGUUAUACAACAAAAGCUCCAUAAACUGCAAGCUACUGUUCACCAUCCAUGAGUUGCUUUAGCAAAAGGGCUGACCAUGGGCUAGCUUUCACUCAUUUAUAUUCACCAUUUUAGCCAAGUUCUAUAAUUUUAGCAUCAUGGGUUUUUAUAUUAAGUUUUAAGUAGAAACUGACAGCCAAAAGCAAUGAUAAAGACCCCAGAUAAUGUUGCUCCAUGCCAUGAUUAUUUUCUAAAUUUUGAAAGUUAUCAAUCAUUUGAUUUGACUAACAUAUCUUAUCCUAUUUUGUUUUUGAAUUUGGAACAUCUUGCAGCAGACUGGCUCAGCAGUAGUGGACGUUAUUCCAUUAUUCCUUGAAACAGCUCCUGACCUACAAAUUGAUGAUGGGGAUUUGAGGAUCUCAUCUCCUUCAUGUCAUGGGGUUGAACAAGGCCGAACUGGGCAUGCUGUUUGCAUUCAGCAUAUUCCAACUGGCAUAAGUGUUCAAUCCUCAGGUAAUAAAUGAACUGGUGAAAACUCGUUAUUUAUAGUGAUACUGGAAUUUGAACCAUUUAUGUGAUAUCAAGAAGUAAAAACCAUGCUCUAGCUUGCAGCCCACUGUACUCAUAUAUGCGACAAGAAUACCAAUGAAGAUGUUUCUGUUACUUCUAACAAUAUAUAAAUAUUGUUCUGUGAAACCAUUUUAUUCUCUUUCCUAAAGCCCCUGAAAGGAUAACUUAAACAGCUCAAACACCUGAACUGCAGACCUAUAGGAACCAAACAUUUGAUCAUCCUGUUAAGCUACCAGUUGAUGAAAAAGCUUAAACUCGUAGCUAAUAAGGCAACAGUCAUGCAGCGCUAACAAUAUAUAAGAGAAAACCCUGUCUUUACUUUUUUUUUUCUUGAUAAUUUUCUCAGAGAUCAGAUGUGAAAAAUAAUUUUUGAUGUGCAGGUGAGAGAAGCCACUUUGCAAAUAAGAUGAGGGCCCUUAAUCGCCUGAAGGCCAAACUUGUUGUGACUGCAAUGGAACAGGGAAUUCCUGAAGUAGGUGGCAUCAAGAGAGAAGCCAUUGCUGAUAUGUGGAAACAAGAAACCAGAAGGUAUGUAUUUCAUCCAAACAAGCUUGUGCAAGAUGUAAAGACCGACAUCCAGUUGCCGGAUUUAAAUUCUGUUUUGGAUGGAAAUAUUGAACCUCUGAUUGGAGCAAAUAUUAGUAUGAGACAGGCAAGUGAUAUGAUCAUGUAAAACCAAAUCAUCUUGCUCUUCUUUGUAACUCCUUUGGAAGUUCAAUGUUCUGUUCCACAUUGUACAAAUUUGAAAAUCCAAAUCUAAAGCUGAUCUUGGCUUUCCAAAUUAAUCCAGACUCGCAUCUUAAAAUGAAAAAAUAUAAAAUAAAAUUGUUUGAUGAUAUUGCUGAGGGAUAUUUUACCAAUUUGCUUGGACCCCUCCUAAUUUUUUAUUGGCAUUUUCAAAUUUUCCAGAAGUUUGAACUCUAUAAACUUAGAUAUCGUUUUUAGUCGUGAUUUUAAGAAACUCUUCUAAUUUUUUUAACAUUUAAAAUUUUUUAUUAAAAAAAUUAAAAAUAUUUGCUAGGAUUAUUACCAAAUAUAUUCUUAAUAUAUGAAAAUAAAAAAAUCUGAAUAGUAGGCGAAGUGGCUGGUGGCUAAUGACUAAAAAAAUAAUAUCAUCACUUUUCAUUUUUCAAUUUUUAUUGUGCCUCUUCCGCCAUCCAUCCACCAACUUCUAGGAGAACUGUCCGAAUCGAUGAAGGAAACCCCAUCUUUCUCAUUUUUAAUUUUUAACUUUUGAGAAACAAAUUGGAGCAACAUGAAUACACCCACACCUGAACAACGCAAAGGUUUUUUUUUUUCUUCGAACAUUUUGUAAUUUAAAUUUAAUAAUGAAUUAGAUUAACCCAAUUACCAUAUUUCAUAAUUAAAAAAAUGGUUUUUUGAGAAUAACUUUUAACUAUUUUUAAGUGUUUUCAUUUGUUGUUUUAGGAAUAUUUUAAGUUUUAAAAUAGAUUUUCAUUUAACAGAAUAUUUUAUAAAAGCACUUCCUACACAAUCUUAAAUAUUGGAAAUUGUCGAAUUUCAAGUAAAAAUAACUUAAUUGUAAAAAAAUAAGCCACAAAAUAAAUUUUAUUCCAAAAUAAUUUUCAAAUUAAUGAAUCUCAUUCACAUUGGUAUUUAUGUCAUAAAAUCUUAGUUAAUAUUUGAGGUUUUGAAUUUUUUUCAAAUGAACAGAAUCAUGUUUAUAAUUUCAAAUUUAAACAUAAAAUCUCUCACUUUAUGUUACAAAAGAAUUUAAAGUUAUAAUUAUUAAUUAGAUUUUUGUGACAAAAAAAUUCUCAAGACACUUUGAAUGUAACGUGGAUUUUUUUUUUCAAAUAUAUUAUCUUUGCUUAUUAGAAACGCGUAUUUCCAAAAGAUUUUUCUGUUUCCUUAUUUGGAAAGAAGACGAAGAAAACAAAGUAUUAGGAAACCCUAAAUGAUGGUCACGUGGCACACACCUACGACGGCACCGUUCCCGAAAUAUAUCUGAAGGCACAGAGCCACCAAUCCAGCUAUAUAUAGGGACGAAUGGAGAGAGCUGUCAGCCAAGUUCAUCAUGGAUUCGACACUUAGAACAAGUAUGUCUACUAUCUUAAUUCUCUGUCUAUCUCUGUCCCUUUCUUUCCCUCUCUUUCUCUCUUUCUUUAUGUAGACACGACUUACUUGGAACAAAAGGCUACUCCUGAAAUCGGAAUGUCCUUUUUUUUUUUUCUUUUUCCUCUGUUUGAUCGGUAAACAAACAGAGCAUGGGAGUACGGCGGCCUUUUCCUUUUUCUUUGUUCUUGUUUGAUGUCGGUUCAGGGUGUCCACUCUUCGCGUACGUUUUGGUCUUGUUUCUUGUGCUGUUUUUUAAUGUGGAGUCGAACUUUAUCGAGAAAAGGGAAAUCGUUACUGUUAUAUAUAAUUUUCUUAGGGUUGCAUUUGGAUUUGAGGUUCUGGGGAAACAGGUUUAGAUAUCAUCUCGCAGGUUCGAGUUAUUUGGGUAAGGCUUUGCAACUAGGAAAAAGAAUGCUAGGAAUUGUUUGGGGAUUGGAUUUGAAAUAAUACUUCGCCAUCGUUUUGAUUCAACCUUUUAACAGGCCUUCAGUCGAUCCGUGGACUUAACUAAGUUAAAAAAUUUGCAAAACUUAGGGCUGAAUUAAAAUCUACUUCUCCAAAUUCUCAAAUCCAGUUGCAUCCUUUCAUUAUUUGGAUCCUUUUUAUGGUAAAAUAUUUGGUGCCUAAUUUGGAAUUUGAACCAGCGGGUAUGAGAAUGUGUUGGCUGUUGUUUAAUUGGAAAUGGUUAAUGAUACAAGAAAACUCUCCGUUUAAAAACACGAUCAGUGGUACAAUAUCCAUUUUUGAAGUAUCCUCGAGUUGUCCUCUGCUACUGUUUAUGUUUUUCCUUUAUUUGACAACUAUUAUGUCUUGCAGGGUCAGUUUAAUCAAAUGCUUCUUCAUACGGGCAUUUAUCUGAGGCACAGGAUGCUUAGGGUUUCAGAAUGGAAGUUACCUGUCAGAUCAACAUGGAGAGUUUCAUGUUUGCCCGCUUACCUAGACACGUGUGAUCUCACUAGAAACAGUAAGUUCCAUUUUGAAGCAAACAGCAGGCACAAAGUCACUCCUGAUCCAUAUAUGCUCUCAUCCAAACAUUACUUUUGAAAAAUUUAUGAGGUUUACUGACAUAAUAAAAGUACAUUGCUUUAUAUUAUUGUUGGGUAUUUAGCUCCUUAUCCCUAAUUCUCUCUCCUUCAUUUCCUUUCCAUGCACAUGGUUACUUUGGUACCUCCUUGUGUACAGAGAAUUUGGUGGGCAAUGAGAGUUGUGGAUCAUUUGGUUCAAUUUGAAUUGCUUGAAUAUCAUUUGACCUUAGUUUUGCUUAAUUGAAAAGUAGUGGCAUUGAUACUUUGGGAUAAAUACACAUCACACCAAAAAAUAAUUGACCAAAAGCAUAGCAAAUAUAAUUGGUUGAACAUAGCGCAAUGAUGAUGUUGGGGGAGGGGUUUUUAUCUGUCAUCAUAAAUGAGGCUUCCUGUUUUUGCACAUUGAUGAUGGAUGUUGAAAUAACCUCCUUGGAAAGUUCAUCCUCUUGCAAAUUCCCUUUCUUUUUCUGGUGGUUUCUUUGUCCUGAGGCUCAAGAAGGAACAAAUAAAUUUAGUAGAAAUUAUUGUCUUAUUUCCAAGUAAUCAUAAAUAGAAUUUAACUGAUUCUGGCCAUUUUUUAGUAUAAGUGUGUUGUCUGACCGCCCUCUUUAUUUUUACCCUUGUAAAUUCUUGUUUUACUUUAUUGGGAGGUGGGAGAAGUGGAAAACUUAUUAAGCAAGCUUCAUCCUUUGGCUAUUAGAAGAGGUGUGGAUGACUCGCUCAGGUGGAAAGCAAAUAAGAAUGGGACCUUCUCUGUUAAGUGUUUUUAUAGCUCACUCUCAAUGGGCAUCAACCACCCCUUCCCAGUCAGUACUAUCUGGAAGUCCUGGGCUCCAACCAGGGCUAGUUUCUUUGGUUGGGAGGCGGCUUGGAACAGACUACUCACCACUGAUCGCCUAAAGAGAUUUGGUUGGAACAUCCCCAACAGGUGCUUCUUGUGUAAAAAUGAGGAGGAGUCUAUUGAUCACCUUCUCCUGUUUUGUGAGAAGGCCAGAAUGUUAUGGUAUCUAACCUUCUCCCUUUUUGGGGUGCAAUGGGUGAUGCACUCCUCUGUGAAAAGGAAUCUCCUGGGAUGGUAUGGAUCUUUUGUGGGCAAGAAAAGGGAGAAAGCAUGGAAAACUGCCCCCCUUUGCCUAAUGUGGACUAUUUGGAAAGAAAGGAAUAGAAGAGCCUUCGAUGAUGUGGAAAGAAACGAUCAAGAUAUCAAAUCCAUUUUUUUGUACACUUUUGUGAAUUGGGCUAGGGUAUAUAUUAAGGAUCAUACUUUAUCGUUGUUUGAUUUUGUAAACUGGUUAGCCACCAAGUAAGGGUCAGAACCUUUUGUUUCUUGAUCCUUUGUAUCUUGGUAUACUUCGUGUAUACUCUCUUUAGCCUUUUGGCUUUUAAUGAAUUUCCUUUAUCUAUAAAAAAAAAAAUGAUUUGUGCUUAUAACUUCUAUUACAUACCUGCUAAAAUAAUAUUUUAGUUAUAUUUAUUUUUUACUAAUCUAUAGGUUCAGGUUCAUCAUCCAGGUGCCUUCAUGCGUGCAGUGAUUUCCUUUUUGUUUUGUAAUUCUUUGGAACUUCUGAAGAGACAUGUGGAAACCUUAUAAUUGCAUAUACUUGAUACUGUUGCAAGUCACCAUCCUAGUGUUUCCAAACUACUUCAUUGACUUAAUUUUCAGGUUUCAGAUAUGCAAAAAUAUCAUAUCAGACCAUGGAAAACAUGAAAAGUACCAUAGAAUGCUCCGAAGAGCUGCCUCUUUCAUCUUCAUAUGAAAUGGCCAUGGAAGCACUUUCAUCUCUCAUUACUAGUCAGAAACGUGGAGGCAGAUCGUCUGUAAGUGGCAAAUAUGGGAAAUUGGAUAGGAUGUCGAUGUAUCUUAAGGUAACAUGCCCAAAACUACUUGAUUGUUGAAGUGUUUGCAAUACAGAAAGCCAUAUUCUUUGCACCUUCACAAAUUUCUGUUUUAGUACGGUUCUUUUUUGUUUUUUUGGUUCUUUAGAACUUCUAAAGGGAAAAAUGUGGAAACCUUAUAAUUGCAUACACUUAAGUCUUGUUGCAAGUCACCAUACUAGUGUUUCCAAACUACUUUAUUGACUUAAUUUUCAGGUUUCAAAUAUACAAAAAUGUGAUCUCAAACAAUGGAAAAAAUGAGGAGUAUGCCUUCUUUUACUAUGCGAUUCAUGCCAAAAUUUAUACGCCAAAAAAUUAGUAUUGGAAGUUCUGUCCUCUAGCUGUGUUACUGAGAGUCCUACUUUCCUAUUUGAGGCUGAAUAAAGUAACCUUUUUUAGCAUGAGCACCAACCUAAUCAAAUGUUUGAAGUAGUUGCAGCCUCUGGAAGCCUUUGCAGUUUUUUUUUUUUUUUUUUUUUCAAUUUUCUGGGUCCCCUACAACCCCGUAUGGACAACUUUAUAAUAGCCAACACAUCCUUUGUAACAUUCUCCGUUUUCCUUUUCCAUAUUUUAUUGUUAUAUUUGGAAAAUAAUAUUUUAUUUUAUUUAUAUAUCAGAAAUUAAAAAAUUCAUUGAAAUUAAGAUAUGUUAAAAUUUUAUGUGAUAGUACCAAUUAAAAUGGCAUGUUCUAAGAAAAUAUUCAGAAUUUGUAGUGAUGGUAAAUUGUUGAUUAGCAACAUUAUUAGGAUAUUAUUAAGGUAUUUAAAAGUGCUGGCAAUUGGAUAUGUAUUCUUGCCAUCGGGGUGGAUUCACUGUUAUCAAAAGACACUAGGAUAUUGGAAAGUGAUCAUAUCAUAAUCUCUUAUGGAUUUGAAGAUGUCUGCCUUUUCUUUGGAUGCAUAUUCUUCAUCUUUCCUUUAUGGGUUUCAUUGGAUUAGGUGUAUUUCUGCUGCUUUGAUUUCUGUCAAUAGUUGCUUGUGUAGUUCUACCCAAUAUUUGAAAACCAGACUGGACCAACUGGUCCAACCGGUCGAACCACCAGUUGAUAUCCUUUCAAGUCUGGUUUGAUUAUUGGGCUGCUGAUGAGGUUACACUGGCUUCAAACAGGUUAUCUCAGCAGUUCAACCACUGACAUGGCUGACUUGGCAGGUUCAUCCAAAACCGGUUGCCACUAAAUCUUUUUUCCCCACAUGCAAGUGAGGAAUUUGAUGGUAGGGCUAUCAACCAAAAAAUUCCAAACCUGAACCACUGGGCUACUAUAUUCCUUUAUCAUAAAACUUAAAACAAUAAAAUAUAACAUGACCUACUUGCUUUCAGAUAAAAUUACAUCUAAAUCUUUUAAAUAAAAGCAAACAUUUACCCAUGGUAAAAAUACUAUAGCUAAAAUAUCAUAGUAAUUUUUAAGAUAAUAUAAUAAUUGAAUAUAUACUUGUUAAAAGACGAUAAUGUUAAAAAUAAAAUCUUAUUUCAUUAUUGAAUCUAUACUAUAUGUUAUUUAUAAUUAAAUAUGAUAAAUAUAUUACUUACAUGAAUUUAAAAUAUUGAGAGAUUUAUUUUAUUUUUAUCUGAACUUACUUUGUUAACGUUAAAGGUAAAUAAAAUGAAAGAUCUAUAAACUUUUUAAUUAUUUAUAUAUAUUUUAAAUUUAUUUAAUUAUUUUUAAUAUUAAUAAUAUAUAAAUUAUAUAUUUAUUUAGACAUGUUGUUAUCAUGGAUUGACCACAGUUCAACCACUAAUCUGAUCAUUAAACCACAAACUAGUAAUUUUUUCGAUUCAAUGACUAGUCUAGUUCUAAAAACAUUGGUUUUAGUUUCCAUCCAAUUGUUGUAGUCAAUGAUACUAAUCUUUCCCUCGAAUACAACGCUUUGUCUAUGCCCUGCUUUUGUCAACUGAUAAUUCACAAUAUCUUGAUCUAAAAGAUUAUAUGAUUGAAUGUCUACUGGUGGCUUAAUAGGUAACUUAUGUUCCAAAUCCUCUGUAUAAUCAUUGAAAAUGCAACCUGCAAUUUCUUUUAUUCUAUUUCUUUGUACCUUUCCUUACAUUUCCUAUAUAAAUAUGAUGCAUAUGAAUCUUUAAUUCAAAGACAGAUUUUUUAUAUCUUUGUUCUUGAUCAUAUCACGUUAUGUAUUAAGGCUGCUCAAUUAUGCAGCACCUUCCGGCGUGAUCAAUAUAGUUCUUACCAUAGUUUUUAGAGCAGAACUAUAAAGAAAUCAGGACUGAUAGUACCAACACCUAAGAAAGGACUCAGCUUGGUCUGGUUCUGCUGGAAAUUUUUUCUACCAAAGUAUGAAAAAUUUAAAUCUUUUUGGGCAAAGGUAUUAUGUUUGUUGAAUUUUUGUUUGAUCUCUGUUUAAGAUUCAAAUGUUACUGCUUUGCUAUUUUAAUAUUCUGGCUCGGUUGCCUGAUCGAUCAUGAGGUGUUUGAGUGAGCAUAAAUAAAUAAAUUAAUUAAUAAAGAAAAAUGCCAAGUAGAUAUGAUCUGGGUCGGUAUAGUAAAUAUGCAAGGGCCUAGAAUCUAGUUAUAGUCUUAUUCUUUGCUGAGGCUGUUGCUGUAUCCCUUUAUAUUAUCUAUUUCUCUUAUAAGUUCUCUUGAAAAUAUUCACUUUUUAUGCCAAUUCCUGACAAGAUUUCCUUCAAGUAGUAGUUGGACAGUGUUGUCGCCUUAAUUCAUUGUACUUGUUGAAAAAAUUCAAACAUAGGAGAUAGUCAAUAUCUUGCAUUUCUUGUUAAUAAAAGUAGAAAACAUUCUUUGACAUGAAAAUAUUAUGAUUUCUUUGAAAUUCUCUUCUGUAAAAGGCUAUUUGUUUUCUAAAUGGGACUGUAGGUAAUGUUAAAAUAGAAUUUGUGUUCCUUUUACAGAUAUUAGGCUUGGAGGAAAAAAUAGCUGGCCUUAAAAUUAUCCAUGUUGCUGGAACUAAAGGGAAGGUACUUUUCCAUUUUAAUUUGUUUACAUAAUUUGCUUAAACAAUUGGGUUAGGCUUCAAAUUAUCAUUACAAAUCUCAUCCUAGCAUGGGAUCACAGUAAGAACGAAAGGCGAAUUGACUUCCUUGUUUAGCCUAUAUCACUCCUACCCUUUCUCUUUUCUUCAUUUCUAGCCUGCCUCUAAAGUUCUCUGCUGUCACCUAGGCCUGAGAGAUGCCUCCUAUUGUGCUUUAAUCAGACUCCCUGCCCCUGAUAUCUGCAGCCCUAUUUGUCGACGAAGGGCCUCUUGGAGCACCUGCUGCUCCAGCUCUUAGAAUUUGAAACUUACCUUUACAAUUGUAUCAAACUUUAUUGUUGAUACCAUAUGCCACACCAAAUACCUUUACAAUCCCUAUGACAUGGCAACCUUCAAAAACCUGAAAUGCAAUAAACUUAUGGGCAUAGGCACUAUUGUCAUAAAAGUCCUUUUUUGUUUUUCAGGGUUCAACAUGCACAUUUUGUGAGGCAAUUUUGCGGGAGUGUGGCUUUCGAACCGGACUCUUCAUUUCCCCUCACCUAAUUGAUGUGAGGGAAAGAUUACGUAUAGAUGGGUUAGUGGUCAAAUGCAUUCCUCUAUCACUAUCUGCAUAAUCUUUUACCUUUAGUUUUACUUAAACAUUGUUUGAACUUCUCUCUCUCUCUCUGUCGCAUGCGUAUCAUGAUAUAAAUUUUAGGAAAUAAUAAUAAUAAUCAUAAUAAGAGACACCAUAAGAAUGACAAUCUAUAACAGAGAUGGCUAGGAGGUUGUAUUGGCAUCUUAACAUCGAUAUUUGUACUCAAGAUUAAUUGAGUGAAAAUUCCAAGUUUGCAAGAUUCACAGGCAGCUAACUUUUUCCCCAAAAUCCUUAGAUAUUUUAAUGCUUCAGUUUUCUCCUUUGCUUCAUUGCUUCACAUCCUUUUUUGUUUCUGAUAAAAAAAAUAAAAAAAUAAAGAAGACUUGCUUCACAUCCUUUGAAUAAUGACUGUUGGCAAAUAAUAGCAAGCCAAUGAUAUGUGAGAUCAACUUUUACAUCUUUUAUGCUGUGUCUCGGGAUGCAUGUAUGGAUUUGAACUCCCAAGUAGACUCCAGCAGAAAAUUUCAUCCUUAUUGCACCUUUUUUCCCGAAUUUUUGAAUUAUUUGUUGCUGAUUGAAAAAAAAAAAAGAAAGACGGUUGGAGGGUAGUAACAGGGAUUCACUUGAGGCAAGUGGCAGGAGUAAAGAUACAAUUCUUUGAUACACAUGCGAGUUUUAAACCAUGGAUGUGUGAACCAGGAUAAAAACAUAUCUCUCAUUAUGUUUGUUAGCUACCAACUUAUUUUUAACCUGAAGUCAUAUUCUUGGUUUAUUUGAAUGCUGAAUAGUGAAUACUAAAAGUCAGCAUUCAACCAGUGUACCUUGGUUUAUAACUUUUGAUUAUAAACAUAUUCACUUUGCUUAGUUAUCAAAAUAAAUAAAUAAAGAAUGCUAACGAAAAAAAGUAUUUUAUUCUAAUGGAUGCCCUUCAAUUCUUAUACAGCUUGGACAUUUCUGAGGAAAAAUUUCUCAUGCAUUUUUGGGAUUGUUGGAACCGGUUGAAGGUAUUGCUCAAUGCUUGCUUAUGAUUAUUGGAAGAGUAUAGUUUUAUUGUACAAACCCUUUAUUUUUAAAUUAAAUCCAAUACAGGAAUAGUUACUUGCUAAAAAAAAAAAUGUAAUCUACAUUUUCUGUGAAGAUGUACCACCAGUUAACUUUUGACAGGAUCAAUUUGCAUUUUAAUCAGAGACCAAGUGUGGUUCUCAAGCACUAUAACAUGACCUUUUCUGUCAUGGUUUUGGACCAGCCAGUAUAUUGGUUCCACUUAGGAUAUUACCAGUUUUAUCUAUGGGUAGUCAUGCAGAAGUCAUUUUUGCAUUUGAAAACAUGCCUGUGUCUAUUGGAUGAAAAGAAGGCUUGUGAAAUUAUGCUGAGCUGGCUGCCAUUUCAUAAAAAACAAUCAGAGAAUAAGUUCAAGAUACUAGAUUCUCCCUGCUUUAAGCAGGUGAAUAUUUCAGUGGUUUGGGUUAACAGUUGUAGGCUGCGAAGUUGAAAGAAGUAAAAAAAUAAAAAUUUGGUAUAAGCUUGUUUUGACUAAAGUUAUAUUCCAGUUCCUCACUGUUUUGGGACAUAUACAUGUUAUUUGGUGAUGACUCUGAGUCUGACAACCUAAUACAGCCUCAAAUUUCUACUAGUUCUAAAGAAUUUCUUUGAUCCCUCCUACCUUUAAAAUACAUGUAAUUGCUUGUGAUAUCUAUAACUCCAAAUUAUGCUGCCCAACACACCCAUCAAUUCCAUUACUGUUACUUGAAUUUAUUUAGUUGAAUUCUUAAACUGCAUAUUUGCACAGUAAAAUUUGUUUUGCUUGUAAUUGAUCAACUGCAUUGAUCACUAAACAUUUGGGUGGCGAUUGAUGGCUGCCCACUUGCCAUUUUAAGGUCACUAAAUCCUGCUAUCCUAUGAUCUAAUCCUAAUAUCCUGUUGAUGCUUCCUGUAUUUGAAUUACAUAGAGGAAGCAGGAAACUAUUACUGGCUCUUAGAAACUCACCAGAUAUUAGGAUGGCUUCCUUGAAGCUGUUUGGCUUCUUUGUGUUGCUUCAGUUUGUAAGCUCUGUUCUUCAAGUGAUUGUUGGUGAUAGCGGAAAUGUUCUUUUGAGACUCUGAAUGAUUCUUCUCACCAAGGUGGCACUUUGGGGAGAGUGAUAAGCGAGAGACUGUUGAAGGACAAUCCACAGAGGAUAGAGUGGAAACGUUCUGGUUGAGUGUUUUUGCAAGUUUCCACAAUCUAGCAUAUCUACUCAAUUUAUUAUUGUUUUUAUUUCUUGGAAUGACAUGGCAACCACCUAAAUAUUAUAUUAAUUUUCUUUUCCUGAUUUUAUUCCAUGGUAUAUUAUAUUGUUUCAAGAGUAUGGGAUAGAAAAACUCGAUAAAAAGAAAAAUAACUCAGCUUAUAAACAAGAGAAGUGGAUUACUCAAAGUCAUGUUUAUGUAUCUUGUCAAAGUUCACUUUUCAUUAAAGAUAUUCAUGAUGAGCAGUUUUUUGAGAUUAAGUGGUCUUGUAAUUUUGAGGUUCUUAGCAUUAAUCAAUCAUUAGGCCUUUUUUUUUUUUUGAUAGGAAACGACAAAGAAAUAUAUUGAUAGAAUUAAGAAGUAUAAAAGAAGGAUGAGGAAUCCUCUCACAAAAGCAAACUAAACAACAAGAAUACAAAAACAAGAAGCUAAAAGGUAACAACAACAAACAAACUCUCUUAGCUAGACCACCCCAUUGGAGCUACACAUUGCUAGUCAAUCUAGUUGCAGCACAUUAAGGGGAAUACCCUUAAAAACAAUCAUUAGGCUUUUAGGUAAUUGAUUCUUACCACUCAGUGAGAAACAUAUAAAAGGAUAAGGAAACUAAAGGUGAGUAAUUUUUAGCCUGUCUGUUGCAUGUAUCUAUGUUAUGUUUCGGAGUAUUUGUUUCUUUUUCCUUUUCCUUAUAUAUAGAUAUAUAUGUAUAUUAUCCCUUAUUCUGCUUCCAAAUUUAAAAAGUUUAAAUGUAAAUUCCUAUAGUUUAGAAAUUUCAAUUUUGCAGGAAAAAGUUACAAAUGACUUACCAAUGCCUCCAUUAUUCCAGUUCCUCUCUGUUUUGGCAUUCAAAAUAUUUACAUGCGAAGAGGUGAGUUGGGUAUUUUGUAAUUACUAUUGUACCUUAUGUAAGUUUUGUGAGACUUUAAUUUGGAACUGGUUACGAAUGUGCAGCUAGUGUUCUCUUUUCCUAUCAAUUCUGAGUGAGACUUUAUUUUUAUUUUUCUUGGUUGUUUCAUAAUAUAUCUGGCAUUGAAAAUAGCUUUCAUUCACAGGUGGAUGUUGCUAUUAUUGAGGUUGGUCUUGGGGGAAAGAGGGAUUCAACAAAUGUGGUAUAUAUCUGCUCAUAGUCACCUGCAUUGAUUGUUGAGUUAAUCAUUAUCCAAGAAAAGCUUAAAAACAUACAAAAAUUCCGUUCUUCUCCUUGGCUUGUUUUUGAAACAAUUCUAGAAAAUUAAGUUGAGAAUGAAGUCCAUGGUAAUGGAAUUUGGUGAUAAAACUGAUGCAGAUCAAAGAACCUGUUGUUUGUGGUAUUACUUCUUUGGGGAUGGAUCACACUGAGACAUUGGGUGAGUUAUUUCUAGAAAUAUCGCCCUACUGAACAAAUGUUCUCUAAUUUGCUUACUAUUGUAUAUCGGUGCUUGUAUGUAAUGCAUUUGGUAGCUGGUCCUGAAUUUGACUUUUCUCUCUCUCACACACACAUAUGUACACACAUACACACACACGCGCACGCACGCAGACAUACACACAAUGGAAGUUGAAUUCAUGAGAAAAUAAAGAGGGUUUUUACGUUUUGAGCUGGUGUAUUUAUGGUUUACCAUAAUGAUAUUCAGGAGAUACCCUUGGAAAGAUAGCUUCGCACAAAGCUGGAAUUUUCAAGGUGUAGUGCUCUUAUAUAUGCAAUUUCAAGGAGAAUGAAUCUGCUUUCUUUAGUAAUGAAUAAUUUUAUUGCACUAUUUUUCUUUUUAUUAUCUGAAUUGGCAGUUUUCAUUUUCAAGUGUUUACUGAACUGGGCUGAUUUCUUCCCUGCUCCUGAAGCCUCAAAUUCCUGCAUUCACAGUACCCCAACUUUCUGAGGCAAUGGAUGUUCUUCAGCAGAGAGCCCAUGAACUAGAGGUACCUCAGCCUCCUCGGUUCUAUUGUCUAUGAUAAUCAUGAUGUAAACAUGUGAUAAGGUUUAUUUAUUUUGGUCAUUUUAUUUUAUUUUUUGUUUGGAGGGUCUUUUAUGUGUGUGUAUCUAUGGGGUGGGGGUGGGGAGAUGUGUUUGGGGUUUUGGUUUUGUGUCAAUUUCACAUGUUGAUGAAAUUAGUUUAUUUCCUUGACAUGAUGCAGUAAUCUUAUCCAUGGAAAAACACCAUAUCUUAUGGAUUGGAUCCAAAGUAAUAUUUUAGCUAGUGACCAAAUUGGAUCAUGAUUUGAAUGCAAUCCUGAUGAGGAUGAAUCUCUAAGAUAUACAUCAAGAAAGGGCAUUAGUAUUAGAUGCAAUUGAAGUAGGAUUAGCAUUACUUGGAAUUAAAUUAGGAUUAGUAUUUGUUGAAGUUAAAUUAGAAGUAGCCAAUUAGGUUAUAGGAGAAUUAGUCAUAAUAAAUUAUUUGAAUCCUAGUAGACUUUCGAUUUCUUAGAGAAGCGUAUAAAUAAGGCUAAUUGACAUCAAUUGAUUAAUGAUUGAUAAUAUUACGUUUUUUUAUUGGAUCUCUUCAACUCCACAAUAUUAUAUUUUUUAUAAAGAAGGGUUGAAGUGAAUUCUUUGAAGAGAAAAUGGAUUAUGGGAGUGUGUGAGAAAAAAAAAAAAAAGACUUUUUUCUCUCCUCGUAAGUUAAGUAAAAAAGAUGAGUUAAGUAAAAAAGAUGAAUUGAAUACAUUUCGUGGUUGUAAGAACCGUUUGAAUCCAUGCACACCCACAUUAAUAAUUGACCUGAUUCCAACAUUGAAUAAAUCUAUAGAUAAGAAUAUUUGUCCUAGGAUUAGUAUUUGUUGAAGUUAAGUUAGAAGUAGCCAAUUAGGUUAUAGGAGAAUUAGUCAUAAUAAAUUAUUUGAAUCCUAGUAGACUUUCGAUUUCUUAGAGAAGCGUAUAAAUAAGGCUAAUUGACAUCAAUUGAUUAAUGAUUGAUAAUAUUACGUUUUUUUAUUGGAUCUCUUCAACUCCACAAUAUUAUAUUUUUUAUAAAGAAGGGUUGAAGUGAAUUCUUUGAAGAGAAAAUGGAUUAUGGGAGUGUGUGAGAAAAAAAAAAAAAAAGACUUUUUUCUCUCCUCGUAAGUUAAGUAAAAAAGAUGAAUUGAAUACAUUUCGUGGUUGUAAGAACCGUUUGAAUCCAUGCACACCCACAUUAAUAAUUGACCUGAUUCCAACAUUGAAUAAAUCUAUAGAUAAGAAUAUUUGUCCAUCUGUAAUGAAAAUUACAUUUAUAGGAAUAUAAGCUAAAAUAUAUCCUAACUGGGUCUUAGGAUUGGAUCAAAUUGGAAAAUAGAAAGAACUUUGUGGAAAAUCGUUAGGUAUGAAUAUGUUAGAUACUUGUGACUCGACCAACAUUUACAUUUACAUUUUCCCUCUAUGUUUCAUUUAAUACAAGUUUGAACCUGAGUUUCACUAAAGUUAAAUCCACUUUUAUUCUCUCUUACUUUAUUCCCAUCCUUCUACUACUCUAUUCCCAUCCUUUUAUUAUUCUACACUAUACUUCUGGGUCUUUCAACUAAUUUAACCUUUCGAAUAAGUAUGAAGUAUUAACAUUCUUUUUGAAUGAGAGUAGAGAAGACACUAUAUGAAACAAAAAAAUAUAAAAAAGAAGAGGAACAUAAUCUUUGAAAUCAUAUAGUUACCUCAUGGGUAGUUAGCUACACCCAUGAAUGAUAUAAAUACAACUGUUGCUUUAGCUUUACUCACACCAGUGGCCUAUUUCUAUGUGGGUCUUAUCAAAAAGCGAUUAGGUUAUUUCGGUGAAUACAUUAAAUCGGCUCCAAUCCUUUUAUCCAUUAACAUUGGUCUAAAAUUCUUGAAAAAAUAGCUUUUUAUGAUUACAUCAACAAUAAUUCGGCAAAAAAGGGGUAUGAAUGGCAUAACAGUUACGAUUGGAUUAAAAAAACAUAGACUUCAAGCAAUUUGGAGAAGAAAAAAUUACUUGAAUAAAUGGUAGAAUUAAGACAAUAGAGAAAAGCCAACUAUCAGAAUUGAACCGAUGACUGUCACAUUACAAAUGCAAUGUUCUAACCUUUGAGCUAAGUGGGCUCACCAAAAAUGGUACAUGCAUAGAAAUUCAAUAGUGGAAAACUUUAUCUCUUAUUCCUUUACUUAAACCCUACAAAAUAUAUAUAUAUAUAUAUAUAUAUAUAUAUAUAUAUAUAUAUAUAGAGAGAGAGAGAGAGAGAGAGAGAGAGAGAGAGAGAGAAAGAGAGAGAAGAUAAGAAGAAGAAGGGAUAAACCUAAGGGUCACACUAAGGCCUUCUAAGUGUCUCACCUAUAAGAAAAUCAACGCAGUGUAUGCAAAAAAACAUAAUAUUAUCAAUUAUUAAUACUUUGGUUUAUAUCAAUGAACCUUAUUUAUAGGUUUCUCUAAUAAAUUCAAAGUCUUCUAGGAUUCUAAUAACCUAUUAUGAUUCUAAUUCUUCUAUAACCUAAUUAGCUACUCUUAAUUCAACUCCAACAAAUACUAAUCCUAGUUUAAUUUGAAGUAAUAUUAAUACUUCUUUAAUGCAACUAAUACUAACUCCCUUUCUUGAUAUCUUGGAGAUUCAUCCUCAUCAAUAUUAACCACAAUUUAGUGAAUUCCUUUUAACAUGCUGUUUUUGCCUGACUGAAAUCAAUUUGAUUAUGCAUUUAUGUAUUCAUAUCAAUUCUUUAUGUGUAUGAUUGAAUGAAUAAUUAGUAAAUUCAUUUUGCUUAUGUAUAUUAGCAUUCUAGUAAAAUUUUUACUUCUAGAAAGACAAUAAAAUUGAAAAACUAAUCCAUGCAGAAGUGUUUUGAAUCUUAUCCAAAUUCAAUAUAUUAUUUUUUUGCAUCAAACAUUGGAUACCACCUACCUCCUAUUUGAACCCACAUCGACAGGCCCAGUCAUUUCUCAUGGGUAUACAUCCUCAUACUAUUCUAAACUGUUCAAUUUGAGGUCAAAAUCAGAAGCACACCAAAUGACAAUGUUAUACAUCCUUAUACUAUUUCCAACUGUUCAAAUUGAAUAGUAGAACUGAUUACUUUUGAAUGGUUGGUCUAUAUGUACAUUUUAUAUAUUCAUUCUUGUACUGCAACAUUUUCAGUAUGUUCUACUCUUUCUCUCUCUCCGCAUAUUCACACAGACUAGCACACAUAUACUCACAACUGUUGGUAGCAUUCUCAAAUGAUAUGUUCUUAUUCAAUUGCAGGUUCCUUUAGAAGUAGCAGCACCACUUGAUCAUAAGAACUUGAAAGGCUUGAAGCUUAGUUUGUCUGGUGAUCACCAGUUCAUUAAUGCUGGCCUUGCUGUUUCCCUCUGUAAAUGUUGGCUUCAAAGUACAGGAAAUUGGGAAAAACUAUUAAAAAAUGUUGGUUGAAUUCCAUUGCCCUUUACCAUUCAUUAUGCUUUACAUGGAAAACAUGGAAUAAUGCAUAUCUGGUUUAUAAUUUCAUAAAACCUUUUCCAGUUAUUGUCAUGAGAACUGCAGAAUGUUUAGAGAGAGGGUGUUUGAAAUCUUUGAAGUGGAUGGCAGCUCAAAACCUUAAUUUUAUUAAAGCAUGAAAGAGAAUAUUUUGGCAGGAUUGGGCCAUAGAUCUGUAUAGUUUUAAAUAUUUUGGGCAUUGUAAAACAUGCAUUUUUGCCUUUUUGUAUUGGAAAAUUAUUCCAUCCAAAGAAUUAGGAAUAUGUUUUAAGAUUUUUCUUCAUGAGUGUGCAUUUAAUUGUUUGCAUACUUCUUCUAACUGCUCAAUGUUUGGGAAUAAAAAAUCAGGCUAACCAGGAAGAUGAUUUGCUCGAGGCAUUCCUCAGAGGUCUUUCAACUGCACGCCUUUCUGGAAGGGCUCAGACUGUAUAUGACACUCCUCUGAAGUCAUACAAUUUGUCAGAAGCUACUGAAAAUUCCUUUGGAGAUCUGAUCUUUUACUUGGAUGGAGCUCACAGUCCUGAAAGCAUGGAUGUUUGUGCCAGAUGGUUCUCAAAUGCUGUGAAAGAAAGGAGGAAUUCACCAUCAUCUUCCUUUGUCAAGGUUGGAAAUAUGGUGAAUGGUUACAUUCAUCACAAGAAGGAAGAUACUGAGGAAUCUAAUAAAAUAUCAAAGCAGGUGACAUUCAUAUCCGAUAAUGAGAUGCAAUGUCCUCUAUGCAGAUGCUUUAAGUGCUUCUAGACAGCUUAUAUUGAUUUCAUUAUCUGGCUCCUUAUAAAGCAGUUGACGGUUCUUGUUAUUUGUAGCUAGUGUUAUUGGUUUCCUAAUAUGACUCCUCAUGAGUGUUCUUUUUCUUUUUUUAAUAUAAAUUACUUGUAGAUUCUUUUAUUCAACUGCAUGGAGGUGAGAGACCCACAUAUUCUGCUUCCACAGCUUGUGAGGACAUGUGCUUCAUCAGGUGCUGUUGCUUCACUUGGUCAUAUUAUUAUUUUCCCUUCACAUGUGAAACCUCAUGGCUGAUAAAUAACCAUAAUGCUCUGUUCCUUUCUACAUUUCAAAAAAAGCUAUACUCAACUGUUAGUAGUAAUCUGCCAUGUUAAUCUUGUACUAUCUUCUCUUAUACUAAGUUACAUCUUUGUUUAAUGUGGUAAAAUAUGUCAUUACUAGUAACCUAAAUCCAUGUCCUUUUUUAUCCUAGUCAGCCAUUACAAGCCUUCAAAUUGAUUGUAUCACUCCAUCUUAAAACUGAUGUCACUGGUUUGCUUCCCUGAACAAGGGCAAUUGAUCUCAAAUCAAGUCUUCUUUCCAAUAAGUGCUCCAUUUCUUUAUUUGAACAAAUUUCUUAAAAACAUGUCGGAAAAGUUCACUUGAAAGUCAAACUCAAAUGAAAAGACAAUGGUAUAUGUGCUUCAUACUGGACUAGGGCAGUAAAACAACUUGCUUCCAUAUUUUUUAAGCAGAGUUGGGGUAGAAUUUUGGAGAAAUAUUACAGCUGACAGGAUUCUAAGCUGUCAACUCAUGGAGAUAAAGUAGGUGAUUUAAUGAGGUGGCCUAGUUGACACUAUUUUUUCAGCUGAAAAUAAUUGGGCAGGUUCUUGUUUUCCCUUUACUUCUUUCAAGAAAAGUUCUGCUUGUUUAUAUGAGACCUGACAAAGCAUUAAUGCAUUCAGGUACUCAUUUUUCGAAAGCCCUUUUUGUCCCAAGUAUAUCAACAUACAACAAGGUUACUUCCGGUGAUUCAAUUGUUCCAUUGGAUCUUCCUGCCAGGGAUUUGUCAUGGCAAUUCAACCUCCAGAGAAUUUGGGAGAAGAUAAUCCAUAACAAAGGUAAACUGCUCCAUGGUUUUGCAUUCUAAAAAAGUUAGUAUUUUAUUUCUCUUUUUCUUAUCAGUCUCACUUUGUUUUUUUAUCCUUCGUUUUGUUGUUGUGAGUGGUGCCAUAUUGUGAGAAACCAACAAAGGAUUGUUUCAUUAAAUGCUUCUCUAAUUGUUAUUUAGCUGGUAUAGUGGUUGGUGUUGAGCAAUGUUUUAAAAACCGGACCGGACCGGCCGGUCCAACCGGUUCAACCGUCGACCGGUCACAUUUCCGGUCCGGUCCUCUCUAUUAAACCGUUAAACUAUUGAACCGGUUACGAACCGCCUGAACCAGCGGUCGAACCGGUGAACCGGUAGAACCGGACGGUUCUAAACGAACCGAACAGUCCAUAUUGGCCCAUCAUUUUGCAAGCCCAUUGUAUAAAAUAUUAAAAGUUGUAGGCCAAAAACCUUACUGGGCCAUGUCUUUGCAUGACAAAGCCCACACCCAAACCAUUUAAGUAGGCUCAGUCAUGAGCCCACAAGGUGGAUGCUGUAGCUUUCAACAAGGAUGCCUUUUAUAGGCAUCCUUUGCACCCUUUUUUCUCUCACAAACCGAUGUGGGAUUGCAAACUAUGAAUGAAAAAAAUUUAACAAAUGCAACAAGAGGAUUUGAAGCUGGGACCUUAGGUUCUGAAGUGCAUUAGGACACCACUCGGCUACACUGAUUUGUUAUUUGAUAUACCAAACAAAACAAUAUAUAUUGGAUUUUAAUUUUUUUAUAAUAUUAAAUAAAAAUAAUAUAAUAUUUUUAAAAAUUAUAAAUUAGUUAAAAUUUUCAUUUUUAAUAUAUUCACAUUUAAAUAUUGUAUAGAUUUCAUUUAAUAUGAUUUAAUUUGAUAAUAUCAAAUAUAUAAAAUAAUAUUAUUGAUGUUUAAUUUAUUCAUAUAUAUUUUAAAAUUUUUAUAAUUAUUUUUAAUUUUAAUAAUAUAUAUAAAUUAUAUAUUUAUGACGUCACCGGUUCGAUAACGGUUCGACCGCCGGUCCGACCAGUGAACCGUGAACCGGUAACUUUUCCGGUUCGAUCACCGGUCCGGUUCUAAAAACAUUGGUGUUGAGCCUAAUCUAUUUGCAAGUGAAAUUGCAUCUAAAUACUAAAUGAUUAAGAUUCUUGGAAAACAUUUUGUGGGGACAAUAUAAGGAAGUUUUAAGCAAUUCCCCUAUUGUGGUUUUCUGAUUUUUUUCCGCAAUGAUGUUAGGAAUAAAUCGUGACAUGUGACUGUUGUUUGAGGGGGAAUCUAUGAAUGAGGUAUUGGUGUCACUGGUAAUAGGUAGUUCAUUGUAAAUCGAUGUGUGAAUCAUCAGCUUCCUAAUUGAGAUAACACACACAUACACACACACAUAUAGACACAUAAUUGACAAAUUUUAUCCACAAAAAAAAAAAAGGAAGAAGAUGAAAGUAGAAAUUAGAAAGCAAGGGGGAAAAAAAAAGAGCAAGAAUAAAGUAUAAAAUUAGGAAACAGGGUUAAUGAUAAACUUGGGUUUUCUUAAUAGAACAUUUCAAAACACAUGAAGGUGCUUUACUUCACUAAUAAUACAUUUGACCUAUCUUUUCUAAUUUAUUGAUCAUCCCUGGUUUGGGCCUCUAGUUUUAUCCUAUAAAGAAUUGAAUUAAAGCAUACUACAACCUGAUAAAGGAGAGAGAAGCUCUCAUUUCAUUUUUUUUAAAAGAAAGAAAGAAAGAUAUUUUAGUAGUGAUUCACAUAUUUGGCCAUUUUGGUUAAAUCAUAGCAUCACUAAUUAAUAUCAAUGAUUAGAGGACUGGGAAAUCAGGGAGGAUCACACCAUGAAGACUUGAACUCUCAUCUAAAUUCUGAAUUUGCAUGGUGGUGAAAGUCACUCAUGCAUUUAACAAUGUUGUGGUGAUUGUGCUUAAGCUUCUGGAUACUGAUUAGACUUGCACUUUUUCCUGUUCACUUGCAUGGGCAGAUGUUGUGGUUGACGAGAGUUUCAAGAUGGAUAGCCCUAGGAUUUUACCACCCUUUGAAUUCCUUUAUGAGAAUGGCUCAAGUGGCAGUCCUUCAAGUAAAUGUCUUUCUUCCAGUGCAGUUAUGCCCUCACUGCCUUUGACAAUAAGAUGGUUAAGGGAUUGUGUUAAAGAAAAUCCCUCCUUAAGACUUCAGGUAAGGAUGCCAUGUCCAUCUUCAUUUAACUUAAAAUAGAUAUUCAUUGUUAAAUGUGAAUACCACUUGUAUGCGGAUGGCCUAAUGACUUGGGAUUGAGUUUUAAAUCUCCUGUAGAUGAGGCUGAGACAAACAUAUUGCAAAAAACCAAUGUGCAAAUUAGAGGAUAGAUAAAUGGCAUUUGAUGCUUGAUGAAAAAAUUUCGGAGCAUGAGGAUUACUACUUAAUCAUCUCAGAGGAAGUGUCUUAUUUUGCAUUUUUCUAGAUGUUAUUUUUCUGGAAAUAGGUUGUUCUGAGAGAUCUUACAGAACAAUAUCAAUAUUAAUAUACUAUCUUUGUGAUCACAAUAGCAUUGCCUUAGAAAGUAGGGUUAAAUUCAUUCUUCCUGAUUCCCUUUUUUUCUUUUGUUGAAAAUUUGGGUUUUGAACUAAAGCUAACAUGGAGAUGAUCUUUACAGGUUCUUGUCACCGGGUCAUUGCAUCUAGUAGGAGAUGUACUAAAGCUAUUAAGGAGGUGAUAAUUUAAAAUUUGAAUCUGGACGCUUAAAAUUAAUCAUCCUAGAAAAAAAUUCUUUGCUCAUAUUCUCUUGAUAAACUUCAUUCUCAAUUUGGUUGAGAGCAGCCAUGGUUCCUCAUUCAAUCUAGGCCUGGCUAAUCUAAACAUAUUCUUUUAUUGAACAAGGAAGGGGAAUGUUCUAUUUAUAGAAGAACAAUGAGUUUAUUGUAUUGUGUAUAAUUAGCCAACAUUGAAUUCUGAAGAGAAACUCAUGCUAUUUCUCCAGAACUUACAUUUCCUGCAACAUGGUUAUGUGAUACAACUCUUGGUUUAGACUUUUGCCUACUCUCCUGUGUAGAAUAAAGCCAUUUCAGGAAACCUUACCAACGCUGAAAAGAUGGUAUUUUCAGAUGAAGCUUCUUCAUCAGCUGGAUUCCCUUUUGAUUGGUUGAUUAGUCUUAAUUCAAAUGUAUUGUGUUGAAAUGCAGUAGUACUCUCUGUUAGGUUAAGCUCCUUAACAGUGAAUUCUUGGUUAUGGCAGUUCAUUUGUCCAAUCUGAUUUAUUUGUAGUAUGAUGUGUUCCUUGCCUAUACAGUGAAGAAGGGCAUGUUCUUUUUGUUUUGGAUGUUUCAAUUUUUUCCUUUUUGUAUGUAAACUGCAUGUUUACAUAAAUAAUGUCAUGUCAGUAUGGAUUCUAUAUGAAUUAAUAUUUUGCAUUACCCUUUUUAAUCAUUUAUAUCUUGAAAAAUAGGAAAGAAAAGAAAAGGAAAAAGUUUUACAUGAAGACGGAAUUAAAUAUUUUUAUUGAAAGGUAUAAAUACUUUAAAAACUUUUCUCUCUUUUUUUUUCAUGAUUAAAACUUGUUUUUCCCAAAUAUGGUUUCUUGUAAAAUGCUUCUUACUGUCUCCGUUUUGAUUUGAUGAGAGAAAAGUUUCUGAAGAGGGAAUUGCCUUCAAAAAAUUCUCUCUUAGAAAAAGGCCUUUUUAUAUAAAAAUUACAAGGAGGUGAGAGACCCUCGUAUUCUACUUCCACAGCUUGUGAGGGGAUAUGUGUUUCAUCAGGUACUGCUGCUUGGAACUCCAGUCACUUGGUUGAUCAAGUGCUUAAAGCGCUGUUCCUUUUUACAACUCAAAAAUUGCCCUACCCAACUGUAAGAAUCUGUGACACCAAUCUUGUACCAUUCUUCUUUUUUCAUGGAAUCCAUGUCCUCUUUUUUGUUAUCCUAUUCAGUCAUUACAAGGCCUUCAACCUGACCACGAUGUCAUUGGUUUCUUUUCCUGAAAAGGGGCAAAUAAUCUCAAACCAAGUCAACUUUCCAACUGCAAAUAAUUUGACAAUAUCAUACCCUUGGUGCUUCUUUUUCCUUUACUUAUUUCAAGAACAGUUCUACAUGUUUAUGAGACUUGACAAAGCACUCAUGCAUUUAGAUACUUGAUUUUAGAAAGCCCUUUCUGUUGCUUUGGUCCUUCCAUCAGACCUUCCUGCCAAGGAUUUGUCAUGACAAUUCAAGCUUCACAGAAUUUGGGAGAAGAUAGUCUGUGGUGAUCAGGAGUGCAUGGCAAGAUUCAUAAGAAAUAUCCAAUGUAGAAUGCCCUUUCCAGGAUUUUUUUUUUCCUUUAUCUUUUCAUAAUAUACUACCCCGAGUUACUGUUUAAACUUGGAAAACAACUGCCAUAUGAUACCGAGUUUAACACAAAAUAUACAAAAAAAAUAGGAUAAGAUAACAGUAUAUGUUAUGAAUUUGAUUAAUAAUGGGAUAAAAUAUGUUAUCUGAUCUUCAUUUUAUAUUUUUUUAUAUGUAAUUUUGAUUAAUAAUCAUUUUCCAUGUUUCUAUAAUUGUUUUUUAUGAUUCACAAGUCACAAUCUUGAGGCACAUCAGCCUUAUUAUACAAUACAUAAAAUAAAUAUAAUUGAAUAUAUUAAAAAGUAAUAAAAUAAAAUUUAAAUUUAAUUAUAUUUAAUAUUAUUUAAAUAAUUAUAAAAUAUAUGUUAUUUUAUUUUAUAACUUCACAUUAAAUUUAAUUAAUCACACCCACACACAUAAUUUUUUGUUGUUUGCUCUAUUGAGAAAAGUUUUACAUGAAGAAAGAAUUAAAUAUUUUUAUUUAAAGAUUUGCUAUUUUAAAAUUUUUCAUUAUUUAGUAGAAUAUAGAAUGAAAAGGCGGGGUGAGGCAUUUCUUGAAGAAAAGCAUGAAAUUAGAGUAAUGAAAAUCCAAAUUCCCGGAGGUGGAGAUCCAAAAACAUGAUUUUAGGCUUUCAGAGCUUCAUUAAUCUUACACAGUUCGUAUUCUCCGCUUUCAAAUAUCAACGACGCUUAUAUUCUCAUUUUCUGCAAAUUCCAAACCCUAAAUCUGACGUUUUUUUGCUUGCAAUCUAAAGUUUUUUCCCCCCGAAAAAUGGUUUCUUGUUCAAGCGUAGUAAAGUACCCAUGUCUUUACUUGCUUGAAUCAACACUUUCCUGAAAACACUUCUCUUACUUUCACCGUUUGUUUUGACGAGGAGUAGUUUCGGAUGGUGGAAUUGCCUUCAAAAUUUUCUACUAGAGCUAGUUUUUUUUUUUUUUCUUUUAGUUGAGACAAACAGAGGUUGAAGCCGCCAUUUUUCUUGCAAUCCACUUUUCUCAGGACAAUUUUGCAUGCGGAAUGUUUCUCAUCAACACAAACAGAGCCAAUAGUUAAAUUGACUGAGAAUGUUGUAGUUUUGCAGUAACUCCUCUGAGUUUGAGAGCCAGAACGUUGGUUUAUCUGAAAGCUAGAACAACAGGGUCUCAAAGACUCGUUUGCUACUCAUCGGAGAUCGAAUCGUCAUCAACUCUUACUAGCAAGAAAGUUAAGAAAGAGAGUAGUUCCAUGAGUAGUAGGCCAAAUACCAAAAAGGGUGUUAUCGAGGUUGUUUAAUGUCUCAUUUACUAUUACUAUUGGCUUGAUGUUCUUUACCAUCUUCAUGAUUACUUGUUCAUGCGUAGGAAAAUGCAUCCAGAACCCAAUCGAUUGAAAUUCAGAGCAUCAGGGAUGAUCCGGCUAAAGUCAAGGCAAUGACGGUCCAAGAACUGACAACAACAUUAAGGUAGUCUUUCUUUUAUAUUUAAUGGGAAAGUUUCAGCUUCACAGCAUGCCAUUCAUUAUUAGGUUUUUUUAUAUUUAAUAUAGUUCCCUAUUUUUAAGCAGUGCUUCUUUUAGGUUAAACGGGAAAUCUAGGUUUGUUACAUGUUCACUAAUAGAUUUUUCUUUAUUGUUGUGGAAAUGUUUAUAAUUAAGAUGGGUCAAUUUCCACUCACUACUUUACUCUCAUUGGGAAUGAAAUAAUGAAUGCCAAUUUAUAUUUAUAGAAACAUAUCACAUAGCCAUAUAUGCUUUGAAUGGUCUAUGAAUAACGAUAUGACAAUUUUUUUUUUUUGUCUGAAUGAUAUGAAAUAAUAUAUGGCCCUAAAUAGAGUUGCAUGGCAAAAUAGGAUUCUGUAACUGAUCCCUUGUAUCUGGAACACACCUUCAUUGAAGUAAGUGGAUUUUGUAUGCCUUGUGAAUUACAGCAUUAAUUGUGAGAUAUUUCUACUUCUAUAUAGUAAUAUUCUUUUUCGGGACUCUUUGCAAUUGUAGAGGAUGAAGUCAGUCAAGUGCAUAGUGAUAGACUGAUAGUCAAAUGAAGGGUAAUUUGCAGCAGUAUGUUAUUAUUUUGUGUCUAUUAAUAGUUUUGUUUUUUCAGGAGUGUUGGAGUCCCUGCCAAAGGCUGUAAACGAGAUCUCGUGUUGGCAUUGAAAUCGUUCCUGGACAAUAAAGCCUCUGGUAUCUCAUUCCACAAAGAAAUCUAGGUUUUAUGUCUUUGAUGGUGCUUUAUGAUGCUAUGUCUGGUUUCAGAGAUGGUGGAACUCUAAAGUUCCCAAGUUUAUCUUCUUUUCUCCAUCUUCUUGGAAACCAAAAGAUGCAUAUAUGUUCCAAAUUUUAAGAGUUUCUUUUAUGCAGAUGAAAGUUCUCAGGCAGAAGAACAGCUGGAAUUAAAUAUUUUGUCCAAGAGGAAGGCCAAGAAUUUAUCUGUUGAAGACCAUGAGCAAAAUGUCAACAUUGUUUCAGAUGCUUCUGGGCUUAAACAGAGUAAGAGAAGGGCAAAACAGUCUCCUGUUGAGGCUAAAAUUGAGGUCAAUACUGAAAUCAUCAAUGAAAAAGAGAAGCCAUCAAUCAAAAAUAAGGAGGCUUCAGGUACUCUGAAACAUUCAUCUUUUUAUCCCAAUGAUGCUCGUGUGUCAACUGUAUUUGUUUCUGCAAGUGUUGACUUUGUCACACAGUCUCACACACUCCUCACAGAGUUCACCAUAGAAAUAUGCUUAUGUUGUUAACUUGAGUUCAAUUGGUUUGACUAAGAGGAUGACACAGUAUUGUGGUUAUUACGGCUAGGCAACAAGCUCUAUCAGGGGGAGAGAAAAGCAUCCUCAAGAAGUAGUAUCAAACAGAUUGCAGUUACUGAAAGAAUUGAUAUAUCUAUGAACGAACCUGAACCAUGGACUGUUCUUACCCACAAGAAGCCUCAAGAGGGCUGGAUUCCAUAUAACCCCAGGACCAUGAGGCCUCCUCCUCUUACAGGGGAUGCCAAGUUUGUAAAACUAAUGUCUUGGAAUGUUAAUGGGUUAAGAGGCUUGCUGAAAUCGAAGGGCUUCUCUGCACUGAAACUGGCACAAAGAGAAGAUUUUGAUGUUUUGUCUCUGCAAGAGACCAAACUGCAGGCAAGCAUUUUUAACCAUAUUGCAUGAUUUAUUUUCCUAAUUGGAACUUGAGUUGUUUGCUUUAUUGUUGUUUAAUUUAGUACUUUAUUAUAGCUUCAGAAUGAAAUUGGAUUGAAAGUGGACAAGAUAAUUUUUCCAUAAUUGAAGUAAACUAGUUUGGUUUCAUUUCAGGGAGCGUUGCAAGUUAUGAAGGAAUGAGAUCGACAAUUAAAUUGUAUGGUGGAUUUAUGAAUGAUGAUAUAUUUAGUGAUUGUUAAUUUGAUGAAAAGACAUUCUUCAUUAUAUAUUUUUACUUUUUAUUUAUUUGCAAUCUUCUGUUGUAUUGUUUCUGGGUUUUUUUUUUUUUUUUGUUGAUAAAUAAAAACCAAAUGCAUUAAAAAAUAAAAAAACGCCACAAGGAUGCACCAAAGUAACACAGGGAUAUUGUUUCUGGCAUAGUACAUUAGUAGAGAAAUGAACUUGUUAUUUCUUGGUUGCUGAAGGUUAUGUUCCAUCAAGAAUGAUUGACCAGAUCAUUGUUGAAGUACCAUCCCUAUUUUUCAUUAUGUUUAAAUCAUAAUUAUCUCAACCUUGAGAAAUUAGGAGACUUACCCUAUUACCCUUGCUGCCUUCAUGUAUAUUUUUUGAAACCUUUGCCUUUGUGAAGUGUCAUUUUGGUUCUACAUCUGGCUUUCUGCAUCCUGAAGCCUGACUCACUAUGGUUUCUCCUAUAACCUUAAACCUUGAGAGAAAGCCUAAGCCAAGAUCAAGAUAAAGCUUGCAUCCUCCAACUUCUUAGCUCAGUUAGAAAACAUUUACAAAAUAUAAAUGUUGUUCACCUAGGUCAAUAUAUUUGAGCUAUUUAUGAUUCUUUGUUUUGCAAGUAGUAAUUUAGUGUCAUAUACUUGUUUGCCUAUCAUUACCUAUUGGUCUUUUAUAGCCGUUUCUUUUUAGUUUAAAUACACCUUUUAAUCCUGGAACAGGAGAAGGAUGUGGAAGCAAUCAAACAGAGUGUCAUAGAGGGCUAUGAGAAUAGUUUUUGGACAUGUAGUGUUUCCAAACUUGGAUAUUCUGGUACUGCAAUUAUUUCACGGGUAUGUUCAUUCUUUUUCUCUAGGAGAAAGUCUAUUUUAUGGAUGAAGAAUGGUUGUUAAGUUUGUGUUAUUCCAUUUGUGGAAAUGCAGUUUAAUCAUCUCUCCAGUCUUCCUGAAUUAGAAAUCAUUGUGGCUUUUAUAUCAAGAUACUAAAAAGUGCAGCUAUUUCUUAUGUCAUUAACCUAAGCUGAUUCCUCUGUUCUGAGCACUUUGGACCCUCCUAGCUUCUAAGAAUAUGUAUUAAUAAUUGCCCACACAAUUCAUAUAUUUGAUCAACAGCUAAACUUGCUUAUUUGAUGAAAAUGCCACCCUGAGCUUUCAGUAGCUAAGCUUCAAGUGGUUUUGAAUGGCAAAAACUCUGGGCUGCACUUGCAUAAAAAAUUGUGUGGGAGGAGGGUAUCAACAUUACAAUUUUGCAUGUUAAUGAAUUAUAGAUUUGAGGAUACUUCAGGAAUAUUUGGGAUAACACACCAGUGACUGAUUUAUCAAGAUCCUGAAUUAUGGGUUUAAAUCUGGUAAGUUAGGCCCACAAUCUCAAGUUGUCAAUACAUUAUAAUUUCUGUCCAUGUUUUCUUCUUGCAACUAUUUGUGUAGAUGAAAUGGAAUUUGAAUUGCACUUUCUAUGUGUUAUAAAUUCCAGAUCUCAUAUUGAAGCAUGAUUUAGAUCUCUUAGGCUAAUCUCUUAAACUUACAUUUCUUAUAUUCUAACUGGUUUCUACCUGUGAGUUUUCAAGUUCACUUAGGGUGCAUCUAGUUCACCAGCCCUAACUUAGGAAUCUAAAUUAUAUUUUGUGAAAUGAAUUCCUGGAAUUUAGGAUUUAAAUUUCAAAAUUCUUGUCAAUGUUUAUUUUCAUUUUAGUGUUUGGUUAUCUUGGGAACUACUUGGGAAUUAAUAUAGAUUUACAUAAUAAAACCCAAGUAAUAUUUGUAAAAAAUGGAUUUAAUUAUAAAUAAGGAAAAACAUGUAAAUAAGUUGUCCAUGUGCCUUUGUCUUCAUUCCCUAGAAAAGGGGGUAAAAAGAAAAUACCAAGUCUUCCAUGGGUAUGGUAUUUUCUCAAAUCUGAAGAAAUAUUGGAAGCAAUUAAAACUUUUAAAGUUUCAUGCAACUAAACAUGGUAAUCUUAUACUUGGAUAUAAGAUAUCCAUUCCCUAGUGAAGAUACCUACGAAUGAAAUGCAUCAUUAUUGUUAGCCUUAUCUCUCCUAGACAUCCCACUUGACCAUCUCAACAUUCUCAUCUUGAUUAGUUUUGUUUUAUGCAUAGUUCGUAGUUUACCCUGCUUUUUAUUCUAUGAACCAUAGCAGGAUUUGUGGCCUUUUUAUAAUUAAAAAAAUAGUAAGUUCACUUGACUGUAACUUUACUUAUCCCAAAAAAAAAAAAAAAAAUUGACUGUAAUUUUAAGACACAGGUGUAUGCCUCAAGGCAAGGUGCAAAAUGCAGAAGAAAAAAAAAUUGAAGUGUAAUAGUGAUGUACAAUUAUUCUAUGAUGCAUCACACACACUCUGCAUUUAUUAUGCACUUUUAAUGCAGGUAAUGUCUCUUGUUAUCAUCUGAAGAUUGAAAAAGAAAACAGCAUACAGGCAGAGCAAUGAUAAUGUCCCUAGGUGGGUGGGAAGUGUAGAGUAGGGUGGUAAUGAAAACUAAGUUGAGGUUUGGGCAAGGCAUAAGGAAGACACACUUUAGUCUUGUUUUUUUCAGGGGGUGCAAAGGUAGCGAAAUCUACUUUUGCUGAUUUCCAUACUUCCAAACUAUCAUAAUUUGCUGCCUGGUAAUUAGAUGCAUUGGCAUGCUUUUUUCCUUUUUGGUAUCUGGUCUUUUAAGUUACUGAUAAAUCUCAUCGCUUAAUCUACCAGAUAAAGCCACUUUCAGUCAGAUAUGGUCUAGGCAUAUCAGAUCAUGAUAGUGAAGGACGGCUCCUGACAGCAGAGUUUGAAUCUUUUUAUUUGUUAAGUGGAUAUGUUCCUAAUUCUGGAGAUGGUUUGAAAAGACUGGUAAUCAACCUUGCACAUCUUGUAUUAUGCUAUUUGUUCUUCAGAGAAAUGUGUAUAUAUAUUGUUGCAUUUUUUAAAUUUAUUUAUUUUUUGUUUACAAUAAAACAUUCUUAGACUGAUGGCUCCUUUUUAUCCUAGUCAUAUAGGGUUACACAAUGGGAUUCAGCUCUUGGAAGUUAUAUGAAAGUGAGUGUUCUUUUGUUGGUUUUCUUAUCAAUUUGUAUAUUGUCUGUGGGGUGUUUCCCUUUGUAUAUCUUAUUUUUUGUAUUUCCCAUGUUGGAGCAUUUUCUUGGUGAUUUGUUCUAUUUAUGUUUACAAGCUGCAGAAUCGUUUGUUAUCUAUGUUGCAUGUCUGCCCUAACCCCUUUAAAGAAGAAAGAUCUCUCUAAUUCUUUGUUAAAAUUGUGAUAACAUUAUUCUUAAAUAUUGUAGUCAAUACUCAGUUCCUUUGGUUGGGUGCUAAUGCUUAUUUCUGCUUCCUGUGCUUCAUACAGGAGCUCGAAAAGUCAAAACCUGUCAUUUUGACUGGUGAUCUAAACUGUGCUCAUCAAGAGAUAGACAUUCAUGAUCCUGCUGUAAGUGACCAAGAUUCUGAUAUAAUAAUUCUUCUAUAUUCUCUUUACAGUUUCCCGUCCAAGCAUAUCCUAAGCAAUAAAUUGGCUAUCUGCUUGGAUGUUGCAAGUUUUCUUGCUUUAUGAUCAGAACAGAGUUAAAAACAGUGUUCAUUUUUGUAAAUUUCUUGGAAUUUAUUUUCAUCUUUGAGUUUGUGUUCACUUUUUCACCUUAAUAUUUUUAUAUUCUCUAAAUUGUUCAUCUAUCCAUAGGGAAAUAGAAGAAGUGCUGGGUUUACUGACGAAGAAAGACAAUCGUUGGAGAAGAAUUUCUUAUCAAAGGGUUUUGUGGAUAGCUUUAGAAAACAACACCCUGGUGUUGUUGGCUAUACUUACUGGGGUUAUAGGAAUGGCUGCCGCAAAUCUAAUAAAGGUAUUCUACAAUCUUUGUUGCUCUAUUUUGUUUGUGAUGUUGUUCCUGUAUUGCUUGAUAAACCAGAUCGCAUUUCUUAGGGCUGUUUUUAGUUUACAGAAGGUAGGGAAUGGGAAUAGAAAACCUUGGGUUAUGAAUUCUAGGAAUUAAUUUUCUAGGAACUAGUUAUCCCCAUUCUAUUGUUGGGAAAAGUUGGGAUUUGAGUACAAAACUGUUUUUAAUCAUCUAUGGUUAGUUCGUACAUGAAUUAAGUUUUGAUCAACUUUUAAUUGAAAAUUAAUAAUGUCUCGUUGGAUCUAAUACAAUUUCAGUGUAAUAUUUUGUUUAUCAUCACACAACACUACAUAUAUGCCUAUUUUCAUUAUAUCAGAAAAUUAAUUUUAUAUAUAUUCAUUCUUAACUUUUGAUUUUUGUCAAGAUUGCAUUUUCAUUAAUUAGCAUAUAACAUAAAAUGAACAUUUUUCACAACACUGCCUAAUGUUAUCUGAAGGCAUCUAAAAUGGGAUUAACACCGUUUGAUAUGUUGUUAUUUCUGUGUUCCCUUAUUCAGUCAUGUUGAAUUGUAAAAACAGGGUGGCGGCUGGACUACUUCCUUGUCUCAGAAUCCAUAGCUGACAAGGUUCAUGACUCAUACAUCCUCCCUGACAUUGGUGGAAGUGAUCAUUGUCCAAUUGGCCUCGUUCUCAAGCUCUAGUUUUAGUUUUGCAAACAGCAGCUUGUCCAAUUGCUGAGGCGAUUUGGAUUGGAUAUUUUGGUGAUCAGCACAAAAUCACACCUUGGGAACAGAUUUUCAUGGUGAUGAGGGUAAAAACACAGAAGUCAGAUUUUAAUGGAAGACUCUUAUUUACGGUUUUGGCAUCAAUUUUUAAUUUUUCCCUGGAAAUCAUUGAAACUUGUGUAUGGGAGAAAUUAGGAGGAAUUUUGUUGAAAUUUACCUGGUCUCAAAGACCACAAGAUUUAGCUAUGGUAAUAAUCGCUGAUCAUAUUUGGGACUGGCCUCUGUAGCCACUAUUGUUUUUUGAGCCUUGCCAUGUAGUGGAAGUUGUAAGGUUAGUAGGGUACUAGGGUGGAGGUUUUUGGUGGUUGUAGCAGUUUCUGUCACUUGUUUCCUUCUAAAAAUGCAACCGUAAAGAUGAAGUUUUGGGUCAAAAUGGUCCAUGUAUUAAAAAAAAAAUAUUACAUCUAUCCACUUUUAUGAAAUUUAUAUUCAAACUAGCUUUUUUGAUGUCACGUAGAGUCAUGCUAUAGAAAUUUUUUUUUUUCAAAAUUUUAAUUAAAGCCCUAAUUGACAAUUGAGGUUUUAUUUUUAAACUAAAAUUUUAAUUGUCAACUAAGAUUUCAUUUUUUUUUUUACUUUAAAAUUUAAUUAAAAACUAUUAAAUUAUAAUUUAUCAUUGAAAUUAGAAAUACAUAUUUAAUAAUAAAUUAUUUAUAUUUAAGUUUAAAAAUCUAGUUUUAUUUCAACAAAUAUAAAUGGAUAGAUAGAAGAUAUUAUAAAUGAAUAUUUUAUUUAUUAAUAAUAUUAAAAUAAUAAAUUUAUAUAAUAUAUAAAUAAGAUAUAUAAUUGUAUAAUUUAUUAAUUUAAUAUAUAUAAUUUGUUGUUUUUUUUUAAGAUAUUGGUUUAUUUGUAUUAUGUCAAAUUUAUCCAUAGGUUCUCUCCUUGUUGAGGCAUAUGAGGUUAUAUAUGUAUUUUUUUCACUAUAUAAAUAUUUAGUGUGUAUUUUUUAUGACUUUGAUGAAACUAGUAAAAAUUAUAUUUUGUAGUAGAUUUUUUUUAACUAAUUUUAUUAAAAAAUCUAUAUAUAGAAAUUUAAGAGUAUACUAUUAUUUCAAUAAGAUAAAUUUUUCAUAAUACAAAUAAAUUAAUAUCUUAAAAAAUAACAAAUUAAAUAUCUUAAAAUAAUAAAUUAUAAAAUUUUAUUAUCUUAUUUGUAUGUCAUAUAAUUGUAUUAUUUUAAGAUUAUUAAUUUAUUGAUAAAUAAAAUAUUCAUUUAUUGUAUUAUAUUUAUUUUAUUGAAAUAAUACUAUAAUUUUAAGUUUAAAUAUAAAUAAUUUAUUAUUAAAGUAUAUAUUUUUAAUUUCAAUAAUAAGUUGUAAUUAAUAGUUUUAAAUUAAAUUUGAAAGUAAAAAAAAAAAAAUAUUAACUGAAACCUCAAUUGGCAACUACAGCUUAAGAGUAUACUAUUAUUUUUAUAAAGAUAAAUUUGUCUUAAUUCAAAUAAAUUAAUAUCUUAAAAAUAAUAAAUUAAAUAUCUUAAAUUAAUGAAUUAUAUAAUUUUAUAUCUUAUUUAUAUGUUAUAUAAAUUUAUUAUUUUAAGAUUAUUAAUUUAUUAAUAAAUAAAAUUUUUAUUUAUAAUAUUUUUUAUUUAUCGAUUUAUGUUUAUUGAAGUAAUACUAUAUUCUUAAGUUUAAAUAUAAAUAAUUUAUUAUUAAAUCAUAAAUUUUUAAUUUUAAUAAUAAAUUAGAAUUUAAUAGUUUUUAAUUAAAUUUUAAAGUAAAAAAAAUUAAUUACCAAUUGAGACUUUAAUUAAAAAACGAAGCCUAUUGAGGCUUCAUUUUUUAACUAAAACCUUAAUUGAUAACUACAACUUUAGUUCAAAAACUGAAGUCUCAAUUGACAAUUGUGAUUUUAGUUUAAAAAUGAAAUCUCAGUUAUUAAUUGAAGUUUUUAUUAAAAAAAUUUAAAUAUAUUUCUAUGGAAUCACUCGUGGCACUCUUUUCGGCUAUGUUUGGUUCCCGGAAAAUACUAAGAAAAGGAAAAAAAAUCAUGUGGAAAAUUAUUUUCUUUAGUUUGGGUGAAAUGGAAAAUAUGAUGGAAAAAAAAUAUAAAGGAAAAUAUUAAAGAAAAUAUCAUAAUAUUUUCCCUACUAUUUUCCUUAAAAAAUAAUGAGGAAAAUAAGAGAAAAAAAAGAAAGAAAAAGGUGGAGAAAAUUUUAUCGGACUGCUAUCGUCUUCACCGGAAACAGCGCAGCACACUAGAGUUGGUCUCGCGAUGCAGGAAGCAUCGAUGACAGCUUCCGCGGAGGGGUGGCCGAAGACGAAGGCCCUCUGCUCGGAGAGAAGACGAUGACAGCGGCCUCAACACUGCACAAAAAGUAGAGCUCGCCGGCCUUCUUGAAGAGUCCUGUUCGACGCUCGGAGAAGGUGACCUCCAAGGACCUUUUCUUCUCGAUUUUUUUUAUUUUUAUUUUCUGUCUUCUCAUGCUCUGUUUGUUCGACGCUUGGAGAAGGUGACCUCCAAGGACCCUUUCUUCUCGAUUUUUUUUAUUUCUAUCUUCUGUCUUCCCAUGCUCUGUUUUUUCACCAUAUUUGUAUUUGCUGAAGACAUGCUCUGUUUUUUCACCUUGUGUUUGCCAUAAUUGAAGUCGACUUCAAUGAAUGUUUCUUGAUGGCUUGAUUGCUAUUUUAUAUUGAUAAAAAGCAAUAUUCAAAAAGAUUUUCUAAAUCUUAAUUUAGAAAUAAAAUAUUUCCAUAUACCCUAAAAAUAAAAAGCUACUAUAUAAAAUAUAAAAUUCAAAAUUCAAAAAGAUUCCCUAAAUCUAAAUUUUAAAAUUAAAUAUGUAAAAAUAAAAAGUUACUAUUUUUUAUUUUUAAAAUAAAAAAUAUUUUAUAUUAUAUCUUUUUAUUUUUACAAAUUUAAUUUUUAAAUUUAGAUUUAAAAAAUCCUUUUUAAUUUUGAAUUUUAUAUUUUAUAUAGUAGCUUUUUAUUUUUACAUUAUAUGAACAUAUUUUAUUUCUAAAUUUUGAUUUCGAAAAUCCUUUUGAAUUUUUUUAAGAGCUUUUUAUUAGUUGUAAAUGUUCCCUUGAAAAUAAAAAAUAAUUAUUACUUGUAUAUUUUAUUUGUAUUGCACGAGGAAAAUUUUAUACAUAAAUCUUAUAAUUAAUAAUAAAAAAAAUAAUAGUAGAGACUUUUUAUUAGCAAUGUUUCAUGUCCAAAAAUUCAUUCUUUUCAAUCGUAUUUUUAUUGGAUUAAUUUAUUUUAUUAUUCAAUAAAUUAAUAAUCAUUUAAAACAAAUUAUUGAUUUUGUUUUCUUUCUAUUUUUUUCUUGAUUUUUUUUCGUGGUUAACCAAACAAAAGAAAAUGAAUUCUUUUUUUUUUUUUCCCUUAAAUUUUCCAUGGAUAACCAAACAAGUGAAAAAAUUUAUAUUCAUUUCCUUAACUUUUCCUUUCUUUCUAUUUUUCCUCCCAAUUUUCUUUCUCUCGUAUUUUCUGGGAACCAAACAUAACCUUCAUAAAAUGAUUUGAUGUAAUUUUAUUUUUUUUUCUUUAAUAGAUGGGUCAUUUUGACCCAAAACUCGUAAAGAUGUCUUUAACUCUAUGUUUGGUUCCCGGAAAGUACAAAGGAAAGAAAAAAAAUGCUAAGGAAAAUGAUUUUCUCAUGUUUGGUUGUCCUAUGAAAAAUAUCAAAGAAAAUCAAAUAUAAUUAAAACUAAUUAAAAACUUAUAUAUUUUUAAAUUAUUUAAUCUUUAUAUUGAUGAGUUAAAAUAAAUAAAAUGAGUUUGAAGUAAUAAAAAAAAAUAAUUUAUCAAUUUUUAAUCCAUUUUUUUAUUUUUCUUCACUUUUUCUUUCCUUCUUAAAACAGAGUGACAAUUGUGCUCGUGACAUGACGCUUGGCCGUGGUACCUUUCCUUCCGAGCAAAAGCUAGAUAAACAUGACAUCACCUCUCAAUCAUCUCAACCACUACAGAAUCAUUCAAAUAUAAAAAAAUUAAAUUAAAAACUUUAGAUUGCUAUUUGACUAUUUCCAUGCCUCUUCAUCACUUCCUUCCACUUUUUUAACAUUUUCAAGGCAAAGAAGAAAUUGUCCAAUUUUAAUUUUUUUUAGCAGAAUUUAAUGUUAAACAAAUGAAUUUAAAAAAUGCCUAUGUCAAUACUUAGAUCAAUCUUAGUGUAAUCAGGCAUUGGAUGAUUCAUUCAUUGUGGUUUCUUUUUUACAUUUUUACAUAAAUUUUUUCUAAUAAGAUUUCAAAGAAAAAAAUCUUAUGGAAGCUUGUCAAUGAUCAAAUAAUUACUAGUGGGAAUAUUUAAAUAGGAUCAUUGCAUGGGAAUAUUUAAAUAGGAUCAUUGCAUUUUACAUCCGAUUGGACCCAAAAAUUAAACUUUGGUCCAUAUAACUUUACUAAAUUAAACUUUGAUUCAUAUAACUUAACUAUUUAAAUUAAAUAUUCAAAAGAAGUAUGAAAAUUGAGAAAAGAAUAUGAACUUUUUAUCAUUUUAGAAAUGAUUUUUAUUGAUCAUGAAUAAAGAGAGAGUAUAAAAACAUUAAUUUAAAUUUUAUUCUUUUUGUAAAUCUCAAUAAAAAUUUAAUCUAAUUUAGUGAUUGGAAAAAAAUUACACCAUUUUUCAAAAAAAAAAUAAAAAAUUAUUAUUAUUAUUAUUUUAAAAUCAAUCACCUUGAAAAAUAUAUAUUUUUAAAAUAGUGUAUAUAAAAAAUAAUUAAAAAUAUGUCAAAAUUAUUUUUUUGAAAUGAUAUUUUUUUAAAUAUAUUUUUUUAAAAAUUAGUUUUCUAAAAAUAAUAAAUUUUCAGAAUAAUUAUUAAAAAAAAUGUUUAAGAUAAAAAAGUUUGUUAAAUAUUAUAGUAAAAAAUAGUUUUGAAUGGUAUAUUGGUCUCUUCACAUUUUAUAUCAUUCCCAUUAAUUAUAUAAUUUAUAUGGAUCAAAUCUUAAUUUUUGGGUCCAAUUGAAUUCAAAACAUAAUUAUCCCUAUUUAAAUUACUUAGGGAGUAAUUUAAUGUAAUUAUUAGCAGAAUAAUUUAGCGUAAUUACUAUCCAGAGUUUGGUUGAAUGUUGACCAAUGAAAGUUAAAGACUUCUUCUCAUUUUCUUUUAAUAUAGUUCAACUUUCUUUCAUAAUUGUCUUCCUCUUUUUAAAUUUUACAUUAAAUACUCACUCUUUUCAAAUAUUUGAAUUGGUUUUAGAUUUCUAAGAACAGGGCCUUAUUUAUUUAUUUAUUUAUUUUCUUUGCAUAGGUGGCGAAAUCUAAUUGGUCGAGUGACGAAGACGGGAAGGAUUGAUUGGACGAGCCCAAUUCGAAAAAAGGUACAAAGAAGCAGAGGGAAGGGGCUUCACGAAGAGUGUCCGCUCGAAGAAUCAGAGGAACGCACCAUGACUGUUCGGAAGAGAGCAUCAUCGGAAACAACCGCCGCGGCGGCCGCCCAACAACCCAAAUCCCAAGAAACAACCACCGCCACGUCCGCAACCACAACCGAUCCUCCAAUCGCUCCGCCGAAAUCAGGGACGAUUUUGAAGCUGUCUCUCCUACUCAUCAUCCCAUACGCCUACCUCAUCUUGUUCCACUACAGAGUCGAUGCAGACCUCAAGAGAUCUAUUCUUAUCAACGCGGGUUUGAGCCUCGCCGGCUUCUUCGUUACUCGUACUAUGAUCCCUGUGGCUUCUAGUUACGUUAUCAGGCGAAGUUUGUUUGGUUACGAUAUCAACAAGAAGGGCACUCCUCAAGGCUCUGUCAAAGUGUAAGUCUUUUUUUUUCUUUGCUAUCCUAUUCGAAUGUGGGAAGUGUAUAUCUGUUGGAUCAUUAAUUUUGUUUGUGGAGCCUUGAAUUUAGGGUGACACUGUUUUGUUUUAUUUUGAACUACGUGUGUGUUGUGCUAUCAAUUUGCAUCUCCUUUCUUACCACUUCCUUAUUUCGUUUAUGUAAAACCGAUGUUUAUUCAAAUUCAUGAAUUGAGUAUGUACCAGAUGCUGAAUCGUAUCUUAAUUGUUCAAUGUAUGUGGUGACUGCUUUUAUUUUAUUCUACUUAAGAGUUGAUAUUUAUUAAAAUCCGUGUUAGAUUCUAACUUUUUUUCUUCUUAACGCUCAAUGCCUAGAGGUUUUCUUUCUCCUCUCUUUCUCUCUUUUUUUGUCAAUUUUCCUUUUUUCAAAUUCAUGAACUGGGAAUGUGGCUUAGUCCAUGCUGUUUCUUUUUUUAUUAAUCGUGAUUUCAUUCAAAUUAAAUUGGGCAUUUGUUAGACCGGGCGAUCUUGUCAUAGGCAAAUGCCAAAUUCCAAAUAGAAGCUAAGAGCUUGAUAUGUAUCUAAUAUUUGCCUCCUUUCUUUUUUAUAUCAAUGCUUUAUCUUGAAUUACUGGUAUUAUUUCUGUCUUGCAGGCCUGAAUCACUGGGUAUUGUUGUUGGGAUUGUCUUCUUGGUCUUGGCAAUCUUAUUUCAGUAUUUUAAUUUCACAUCAGAUUCAAAUGUAAGUGUAUUGUCUUAUAAAAUUUUCCAGCUCAUGGUUUAUUUUAAUUGCUUUUCAGUUCAAUUUUAGUUUUUAAAAGGUCAACCAUGAAUUUUCUGACUGUAUUUCUACAGUUACUUUUUGUUGUAAUUAUUUAUUCAUUUGUUAUUCUAGAACAUCAACUGGCUCUUUAUCAGCUAGAUUGAUCAGGAAGCUACUUUCUUAAAGCAAAUGAAGGAAUUAUGUAGAGGGACAAUAGGGGUAUAAAAUAAAUGUUACCAUGAUUCAACAUGUAUAUAAGUGGAGCUGUAAUAGUGGAUGCAUGCUUACAAGCUUAUCCAAUGAAGGAAGACAAUAAAAACUUUCAAUGUACCUAUAAGUUGCCUCAAACCUCAUAAUUUGCUUGAUUUCUAAUUUUCUAGUGUUUUUAUUUUUGAGUGAAAGAUCCAUGUUAGACAUGCUAUGUUGCAUAUCACUUUGCCCUAAAGUAGUGAAGAACCAUUAGACAUUGAAUACAAUUCAGUUGUAUUCCAAUACCCUAUUGUUUUGGAAUACAUGAAUAUGAACCUAGAUACACAAUUGCACCUGAAACUACCCAAGCCUCUGUAACAUAGUUGGUGCCUUGGUGGUAUCAUACCUUAACAGUACAAAGGUAGGUGUGGUGACGUAAGCCACAAUGUAACGAGCAUAGUUCAAAUGUCUUUAAUAGCCUUAUCAUUUCAUUUGCGAUCAAUUGGCAUAGGGUCCACUUGUUGGUCCUGGCUGAAAUCUUAAAUAUUAUUAGUUCCCUCAGAGCAUCUGUUGUGCCAUAAUGGGGCCAAAAUCUCCAGGUUGAGAGUGGUCCAUUUCUUCUAGUGAAUCUUCAAAUAGAUAGAAAAUUUAUGUGGUUUGAACCAUUUAUUUACUGUCAAGCUUCUCUUUGGGCUUUUUGUUCUAAGGUUUUUAAGGGGAUUCCCCUUAAUGUGAUACACCUUGAUUGGUUAGCGGCGUGCAACUCCAUUGGGUUGGCCUAACUUAUAGCAGUUGUCUGUAUCUACUUUGUAUUUUCUCGCAUUUGUUUCAUUGUAGUUUUGUUUUUCUUUGGUGGGAGGAUUCCUUAUCAUUCUCUUGUACUUUCCUUUUUAUCAAUAUAUGCCUUUGUCGUUUCCUAUCAAAAAAAAAAAAAAAAAGUUUCAUUUGAGUUGAGAAAGUAUUAUUUAGAGUUUGGCUCUAUUAUUUUUGUUUUGGACCAUUGAUGAUAAUGUAAUUGGGAAACCCUUCUAGAGUUAGAGCAGCCAAUCUUGGUUGUAAAAAUAGAUAUUUUUGAGGCCAUUGUUUAUAUGGUGUAUAGGGUAGGUGGAAAUUGCUAACCUCAGUAGACUUGAGUUUGAAAAUAGCAGGGGUGGUCAGUUUUUCUGUCUCUUAGUCUUUGGGUGACUUGUACUCCUUGUAUACAUGGGUUGCGCCCUUAUUUGGCUAGGCACUCAAUGUAUUCUACUUAUUUUGUUUGCCUGUCCAAAAAGACAAAAAACAAAAACCAAAAAAGAAAAAGUGGGGGAAGGUGGUGGGGAUGGUUUUGUGGUUUCAGAAACCCAUGGAUGAGGGCUCUUUUCAUUCAUGAUCACUUCUUAUCAUUCCCUGAAUUAUUAUUAUUAGUAUUUAUGUAUUUCUUUUCCAUCUUGUAUUUACCAAUUUAAGUUAGCUAAGCCCUAGGUUAGUUAGGUCUGACUUUGAAGACAUUUUCUUCUUUUAACUUUUAGAAUUAAAAUGUUGACUACUUCAUUCAUGCAGUGGCUUGUUGAGUACAAUGCAGCCUUAGCAUCCAUCUGCUUCAUGACCCUGCUUGGAUUUGUAGAUGAUGUUCUUGAUAUUCCAUGGAGAGUGUGAGUAUUUGGUCAUUUUCAAAGGUUUUCUGAUUUCCUAGGGUCAUAUAUCUUGCAGAGAUAUUUAAUUUCCACUACAUAGACUUUUGUAGUUGUGCUGAAAUAGAUCCUUAUGUGACUGUAAUUCUGAAAACAGGAAAUUAAUAUUGCCAUCAUUUGCUGCUCUUCCCCUGUUGAUGGCUUAUGCUGGCCAUACCACUAUAAUUAUACCAAAGCCUCUCAUCCCAUACGUUGGGCUAGAAGUUUUGGAUCUAGGUAAAUGAUUUCUAACUCUCUCAAUUAUUGUUACAUAGAAAUAACUUAUUAUAAUGUAAAUGUGGUGUUUUCUGUCUUUCCAUUACUGUUAACAUGGAUACUUUAAACAUGAUUGCUGCAUGAUGGUUUUAAAGUAAGAAUUUUUUUAGUUUUCCAUUCCUGUAACUUCAUGAUAGUAGCCCCAGACUCUUAUUUCAUAUGUUGAGUAAGAUUCAUUAUCAUUUUUUUUUAAAAUAAGUUUACUAAAAAGUUGAAAUUUUGUGGAAUCAUCCAUCUAAUUGGUGAAUAUACAAAACCUCUAAAAAACAUAGUGAAAAUAUAUAGAUGUAUGUCUAUGUGUGUAUUUAUUAGACACCUUCAUUGGAAUUAUUGAAACAUAAGUGACUGAACCAUCAUGUGCUAGAACUAUCAUAGGCAGGGAUAUGAGAUGCCCUUGGAUAUUCCUUUUUCAUUUUGGACCAUUCCUUGAUUAGAUAAUAACUGAUGGAAUUUUUUUAAAAAAAAUAGGAUUAUUCUAUUUUGAAAAUAAGACCCAGCCCUUAUCCAUAGAGUUGGUUCUUGAAAUUUCAAGUUUUGAAUCAUCAAGCUUGUUAAACUUUUCUUGAUCUCUGGGAGCUGGUUUAUUGAGGUACUUUUUGCAUGAAUCGCUUUAACAUCAUAUAACAUAGCACACUAGAUCCAAUUUUUUUGUUUGGAUGACUUUAAUUAUCGGCUGUCCUGGGUGAAGCCAUUUAACACUGGGGGACUGACCGUGCACAGCUUGAUGAAUAAUUACUACAUUUGAACUGUUGGUUAUUUUGAUUAUUGAGUUGUUUAUCCUUUGGCGACUGCUUACAACUAUACCUUGAUGUGAACAGGAUGGAUAUAUAAAUUAUAUAUGGGACUUUUGGCUGUAUUUUGCACGAACUCCAUCAAUAUACAUGCUGGUUUAAAUGGCCUUGAAGUUGGGCAGACUGUUGUUAUUGCAUCUGCUGUAAGAAUAAAGCCUUGUAGAACUGUUGGAAUUUGAAUUGGUUAUGGAAUCUGAUGCAUCAUAGCAAUUUACAGAUUUUGAUACAUAAUGCUAUGCAAAUUGGAGCAUCCACAGACCCAGAGUAUAAACAGGCACAUGCAUUCUCUAUUUAUCUUGUUCAACCACUACUAGCCACUUCCUUGGCUCUACUUAGUUACAACUGGUAAGUAUACUGCAAUCCUUUACUGAUAGCUGUUUGGGGCUGAUUCGUGGAGCCUUAGAACCACAUAUUAAUGCUUGAGUGUGCUUUCCUCACAAAAUUAAGUGUUUUGCAAAUUUUAAUAAUUGCUUUUAAAAAUCUUUACAAUCACUUGAAGUGAUUUUUGGACUAGCAUUUAAUAGGAGUUUCUUUUAGAAGUCUUUUUUUUUUGUUAUGUAACACAUUACUAAAACACUAUUAAAACACUUUUUUUAGUUUAUAUCUAAACACCAACUGGUUCUUCAUAAAAGUGCAUUUGAUAGAAGCACUAUUGACAAAAGUGGCAUAGGUUAGAAGAACUUUCAUUAGAAGUACUUCCAAGAGAGUCCUAAGUUUCUUUAAAAUUUGUUUCUCCUGCAUAAUCAAGUCUUGCUAACAGUUCAUUUGUUGUAUCUUGCAUAUUCCAGGUAUCCUUCUUCAGUUUUUGUUGGAGACACUUACACGUAUUUUGCUGGAAUGACAAUGGCUGUAGUUGGCAUUUUAGGCCAUUUUAGGUAUGUUCUGUCAUGUUUCUAUUUUAUGAUUAGUUCAAGGUGUUAAGUGUAAUACAGAUGAUCUGCCAGAGCUUGAUUGGCAGCCUUAAGUAAUAGGUUGCCAGAUGAGCAUAAAUGUGUAGUAUUUAAAACAUUUCCAUUUUUGAACAUCUGUAGAUUUACUUAACUAAAAUGCUACAGUAUCUUUUAGUUUUUUACGUGGCUACAAAAUCCGAAGUUUGCUUUACCAUGUAACAUUGUUUUGCUUUCUUACCUUAGAGUCAUGUGGUUCAAGAUGGUUGGGCAAACUAAAAUAGUUAUGGCAUCCAUUUGUUUCCAUGGAAUUUUCUUCUCUUGAGAGAAACUCAUUGUUUCAAUUGGUUUCCCAAGUUUUAUUUAUCAAGAAAUUACAUGGAAGAUAUGUGCCAAAUCUCACUUUACUAUUUUGAUCCCAUCUGAUCUUAAUGCAUAGAAACUCUUUUUGUUUAGGUUUCUACUGCCUCGACAAUACAAGGGAUCUAUGCAUACCAUUUAUUUGCAUAAAUUUGCUAGUUAUUUAUGUUUGUUAAUUACCUACUAACUGAUAUACCUUUCAUAAAUGAUGUUCCAGUGAAACCCUGCUGAUUUUCUUUAUUCCUCAAGUUUUAAACUUUCUAUUAUCACUCCCCCAGGUUUAAUUUCUGUCUCCUUCUCUCUCAGUCUUCAUAACUAUGCCAGAUGUAUAAGGCUUUUAAAUUUGGAUUGUUUUUUUUUGCAGCUUUCUGGCUAUGUGAAAUGCCCACGGCAUCGUCUGCCAAGGUAGCUUUAUAUGCAGUGUCAUGCUUGAGGAAUUCUUACUAGCAUCUUCUGUGAAAUUUUUCAAUGAUAUUUUACAUUUACUUUUUCAGGUUUGACCCGCAGACAGGGCUACUGACUGGAACAAAUGAUGGGACUGUUGUAAACCUAUUUUUAAGACAAUUUGGCAGGAUGUCAGAAAAGUCACUUUGCAUCCUACUUCUCGUUUUCCAGGUGAUUGAAUCAUGUUUUUAUGUAGUUUUUUCUUCAACCAUACCAUCAUGUUAUAUUUAUCAUUGAUGUAGUAAUCUUAUUGAGCCCAACUGUUAAUAGAUCCUUCUUGAAGGUCCACAUGAUACUUAAGAGAGAAAAAAAUUAAAUAGGAUAAACCGAUGAUCAUCUGACUAUCUUUAGCCUAAAUGUGGCAAGAUUGAGGGUGAAGUUUGAGCUUGAUAUCUCCAAACUAGUUCAAGUCUGUCAACUUGAUUGCAGUUGUGUUGUCGUCCAGUGAUGAUCCCAGACAAUAGCAAUAUGCAGUAUGCUUUAGUUACAAAAAGAUGAUGUAUUUUGACGAUCAAAUUAGAGGGCACAUAAGAAGUGGUCCCAUUUUUUUCAUUGGAUCCAGAUGGAGAUUAAAGGUCUUGAGUGAUGUAUCUGGCAGAACAACUCAAAAGUAGUGUUGUUAAUUUCUUCAUGAAGUACCAUUUGUAAAACAAAUAAGAAUCCCCUUCAUAACAUGAUUUCUUCUUGAUAGAUGUAGAAUCCAUGGGGCAAUUACUUAGAAUAAGAUUUUGUGCAACAGCCCUUCUUAUCUAAUAGAAAAGGGUUGCAUGAUCCUGAAUUGAUCUUAUUCCCAAGCUUGUCUAUGAAGAGUGGAUUGUAGGCAGGAACUCUUUUUUUUUUUUUUUCCCUUUUAUCCUUUUAUUUAUUUAUUUUUUAUUUUUUUAUAUAGACUAUAUCACUGAGUUGGUCUGAGUGGACCUUGAUUAAUGGGUCUGGUUGUGGCUGGUUGUUUUGUGACCAAACAUAUCAACAGUUCUCCCUCAGAGGAAAAUUACUUGAGUUUUAAAUCUUCAAAUCAGCUGGUUUAAAAUUAUCUGGUGGAUUGAUAAUCUCUUAUUGGCCCCUUUGAUGGGGGAUCCCUACAACUUUCCUACCCAAAGUUCAAACCCAAGGCUCUUAUGCAUCAUAAUGCCCUUAUAUAGUUUAUAUCAGUCUAUACCAUUCAUUUCAAGUUGGUUGGAUCCGGAUCCUCAUCCAUCAGUUUCAAAAGUAUCUUUCUUACUUUCUUUAUAGUUUUAAAUAAUUUCUUAUGAAGCAUUUUCCUCAUAAAAUAUGCUUGUAUAUAUACUGGCAAUAAUCAGAUGUCCAAAGGCUAAAUCUAUGUAUUUCUCAACAGGCUAUUGGAUGCUGCUUCUGCUUUGUGCUGAGGUGGUUCCUUGCUGGUUGGUACAAAUGAGGCAGCAACAUGGAAGAAAAAUCUUCAGGUUAUAUUCAGUAACUUGCAUGAACUUUUACUUAUCAUCCAGAUGUUGUAUAUUUUUUCAUGCUCCUGAAAGGGAAUUCAACACUAGCAAUACUGGAGUCAAAUCUUUCAGUAGGAAGCGUGCAUGGUUUGCAGUUGAGUCAUGAGAUUCCUAUGGACCGAUGCUGGUAUGAUGUGCCAAAAAAAAGAAAAGGCUCCUGCAGGUUUUCGUGUAUUUUUCCUUGUAUGAGAGGAAAAGUUAAUUUAUACAUUCAAAAAUUUUGGAUAGUUUUUGACCACCAGACUUUGGUCAAAUUUUUGCUUAACAUAUUACCAGCAACAAUGUCCUAGUUUUCUGAUAAUUAAUGGUGAAAGCUUUACUUUAUGCAUGAUAUGAAUCAUUAAAGAUUUUGGAGACACCAAAUGAUGUGUCUUUUGAAGAUUUUUAGAUGAAUGAAUUGUACCUUUGGUUGUAGCAUAUUGAUUCUUGCUUAUCCCUCUUAUGUCGAUGACUAUGUGGAAGGAAGCACACUGGGGAGUUCGGUCUAAACUUGAACCUAAAGUGGCCGUCUGUAACAUUUGCAUAAACCAUGCAUGUUUCUCUCGUCUCCAUUUUUUUCUCUUUUAUACGAUUUUGCUGGUAGUUUCAUUUUCCACUUAAUGAUCUGAAUUAACUUACCUAAAAGUUCAAACUCCAUAUUUUUCUUCUUCCUCUGUCCAGUUUCAUCCUGCCAAAUUGUUUCCAUAACCCGGAAAUGAAGUGUGAUCCAGCAUCAUAACCAUUUCGCCAGGCCUCACCUAAAGAUCUGAUGGCUUCCCUAUAACCCCCUUUUCGUGUUUUUAAUCAUUCACUAGAAGCCCCAUUUAAUUAGUGUUUUCUUGUCAUUUUUUUGCUAUGAAAAAUUCACUCAUUUUUUUUUUUUUUUUUUUGG
rnacentral:lncRNA from 1 species